GAUUUAGCAAAUUUAAUAGAAUUAUUUAAAAUGGAAGGCAUUUCAGGGCUGCUUAUGAGGAGUUUGUCUCUCAAAAGAAUUUCUGCUAACCUUUGAGGAUAAGGAGCUGUUGGAAGAGCUCAAGGAUAAAGGUUGGGAUUGGCUUAACAAAUGGUUUACUAAGGUGGAAACAUAGUUAGAGAAUUUUUCAUCAAAACUCCUUAACAAGUGGGUGAUUGCACAGGAUAUCCUUUUGAUGUGUGAAAUAGGCAUAUUAUAAAUUAUAAGCUUUUAGGCCAAAUUCAUUAAAAGUGCCAUUCUAGACUAGGUUUUGGUUGUAGUGUCGUUCUCAAUCAUUUAAGUAAUUUAAAGACUUUGAAGAUUAUGCCUUAAAAUAGACAAGACUAAAGUUUUCAGGGUGUAUACCUCUGUUUUGGCAUGCACAUAUGUCUUUGAAUCUAUGAAGAAACCUGUUGUCAUCUUGGGACAUCCUUUUACACUGAAAUAAUGCAAAGCCGAUAAGACAAAGUGAUAUCCCCUUGGACAAAAGUCAACAAGGCUUGGCAGUUCUUUAAGUGAUAAUUCUCUUAAUUGAUCAAACUUUAUCUCCUUUUCAGUUGUCGCUUCUGCUUCAUCUUCAAGUUCAAAUACUUGCUCCAAUUUAGAGUUCCCUUCAACUUUUAACUCUUCAAGUUUUGGAAGACAACGAGCAGAUCCAAGAGGAAAGAGAUGUUUUAACUUUUUGCAAUAUUUAACAGAAAUUAUGGUCAAAUUAGGAAAGCUUAUAGGUUGGAGAUCAUCAUCUGAUGAUGAACAAACUUGAUCCUCAGCAAUGAUUUGGUCCAAUUCAUCACAAUUUUGUAUUUCUAGGUUGACCAACCGUGAUAAACUUCGAGCAAUUGUAGGUGAAAAUAUGUAUCUUAGCCUCUUGCAAUCAAUCACCUCCAGAAUUGUAAGGUUUUCAAGAGUUACAACUUGAGCGACAUCCUUCCAUAUAAUCUGCUCUUCAGAUAAGUCCUCCAGGUGGAGUUCCUUUAUACGCCCAUGAACUUGGAAUACUUCUUCAUGACUCCCAACUGCUAUAUAUUCUUGAUUGCAGUUGGCUGAAAUACGCAAUUGAAAGCUAUUUACCAACUCAGAGAGAUAUAAUUCCUGCAAAUACAGACACCACCAAAUGUCACUAAAUACGUUCCUUUUCUAUUAGAUUGGGAAUAGAUGAGCAAAUAGUACUCAUAAUUUUUUAGAUGCCAAUUCACAAGAAAUCCUUACAUUUUUAAUGAUAGGACAUAUAUAUGUUUCAAAAUUUAAAUCCAAAAUUUUCAUGAAAUGGUCUGAAAGUGGAAUCCAAAGACAUCUAACCUCUUUCAAGUUUUUCUCUGUUAAUUUUUAACAUAAAACCAUUUAUGGCUUUCCUUUUCUUGUGUUUUUUUCUUUGUCAUUUUUUCUUUAAGCAUGUUGAUUUGAAAAGUAUAGAUAAAGUGGUAAAGUGUUAAUUUUUUUUAAUUUACCUAAAUUACAUAAAAAAAAAAAACAUAAAAGAAAUGAACCCCCUGGAAAGCCUAACUUUCUCAAUCUGUUUCUCUUGUCUGCAACAGCAAGUAGAAACACUUUGAAUAAAAAAAAAAAAGGGAACUCAUGGCCAAGAAGAAAAAGAAAACUUAAAUUGAAGAAGAAAGAGAAAAUUCGAAUCAGAGAAAGCAAGAGAAACUAGAAUCGAAGAAGAAAAAGGAAGCUCGAACAAGAAAAAAAGCAAGAUUUGUCGUCUUGAAGAAAAUAUAUGAUGAACCUCAAUUCAGAAACAAGGACAAGGAAAACCCAAAGAUCCCCACAAACAAAUUAAAAUUUGUUUUUCAAAAUAAAUAGUAUAAAAUUUUUGUUCUGCAAUUUUAAAAAAUAAUUGGAUUAGUUUGUGAGUGUUGAAAAAAAGAUUUAGCUCAAAGGCAAAAUCCAAAACCAUAAUUGAAGGAAAAGUGUAUAGAGAAAUACCUCUAGCUGAAUUUGCUCAUUAACUUCUUUUUGAAUAGUGAAAUUUCUCAAUUUAGGACAGUUGCAAACUUUCAACUUCUCCAAGGAUGGUGAUGAGAUGAGAAAGUUUUCUGAACUCAAAUUUAUCAAGUUUACAAGUUGAAAAUCUUGUAGGCAAGGGAGUCCAAUGGCACAAUGAGCUGGCCCUUUCCAUAUGCUCUCUAAUGCUGGUAAUAACCGUAGCUUCAACCUUCUUAAAUUUGAGAGUGGUACUGCCUGAUUUACCUCACAUAAAAAAAAAUAUAAAAUUUAUUAAUUAAUAAAUAAUGAAAAUGAAUUCUUUAUACUUGAUCUUAAUUACUGAGAAGAAAUAUAUUUUGUUAAAAAAAAGUAGAAAGAAGUAUUAAAAGUUAAUAAUUUAGAAAGAUUAGAUAGUAAUUAUUUAUAUAUUUGAUAAUUAAAAAAAAUCAUUAGAAAAACAAUAUACGAGACCAUUAUUAAAGGAAAAAUGAAGAGAUAAGAGGUACCUCUAGCUCAGUCAUUUCUUUAUCAAAAGCAAAGACUUGCUUUAAUUUUUCGCAUUCAGAUAUCUCACACUUCUCUAGAUGCAACAGACUUUGAGCAAGGCAAGGUGAAAAGAUAGAUUUCAAUUUAUCACAACCAUAAACUAUUACUUCCUUUAGACUUUGUAGGCUUACAUGAUGAGUUGGCUCUUUCCAUAAACUCUUCAAUGUUGGCAAUGACGUAAGCUCCAAAUAAGUUAAAUUUGACAAUGGUUGUACCUGAUUUUCCUGACAUAAAGGAAAAUAUAUAAUUUUUUAAUUAAUAAAUAUUGAAAUAUGAAUUCAUUGUACUUAAAUAUUGAGAAGGCAUAUAUUUUAAAAAAAUUAUAAAUAAUAUGUAUUUAAAAGUUAAUAAUUUAGAAAGAUUAGAUAGUAAUUAUUUAAAUAUUAAAUAAUUCAAUAAAAUGAAAGAUAAUUAGACAAAGAAUAUAUGAGAGCAUUAUUAAAGGAAAAAUGGAGAGAUAAGAGGUACCUCUAGGUCUACCAUUUCUUUGUCAAAAGCAAAGACUUGCUUUAAUUUUUCGCAUUCAGAUAUAUUAAGUGUUUCUAGAUGCAACAGACUUUGAGCAAGGCAAGGUGAGAAGAUAGAUUUCAGUUUAUCACAACCAUGAAUUGUUACUUCCUUCAGACUUUGUAACCUUACAUGAUGAGUUGGCUCUUUCCAUAUAUUCUCUAAUGCUGGCAAUGACGUCAGCUCCAAACUUCUUAAACUGGAGAUUGUGCGCGUCGGACUUUCUUCCUUUCCAAAAAGCCAAUUCAUUUGAAACACUGAUUGCAACUGCUUACAAUCGACAAUGUGCAAUGUUUCUAACCUUUUUAAGAAGCUAAUCGAUGAUUGACCAUGGCACAACUCUUUCAAAGAAGUCAUGAAUGUAAUGUCUAACUUCACCAAAUUAGAGAAUGCAGUGGUUGGACUUUGUUCUCGUGUUGUAUCGAACAAGCAUUCUAGAUUUUCACAAUAUACAAGCUCAAGAGAAGUUAAUUCCUUUAGUCCGCGCUGAUCUACAUUUGGGACAAUAUUUUUGUGUUCCAUGGUGACCUUGGACAAAGUAAGCUUCUCCACAUUGCAAAAUAGCUCCUUGAAUGCAUUUAAUGAGGAUGAGAAAUCCUUAAUUCUCAAGGUUCUCAAGCUCAGCCCCUCCAAAACUUCGAUACCUUCAUAAUAUUCACUUACAGCUAUAUUGUAGCUUUGUAGUUUAGGGAACACAAAGUUUUCUUGAGAACAUUGAUUAGUAGAAACUGUCAGUGCUAAUCCAGUCAAACCAGUCAAUGAAUUCAGCUCCAAUAAGUUAGCAUUGUUAUCACUUGUCAUGUGUAGCUCUUGGAGUGAGGUCAACCUGUUACAAACAAACACAAAAUGUAAUUAAUGCAAUAAUAGCACUUUCAACCGAAUGAUAAAAAUAGCAAGGUAAUGAAAUGAAUAAGAUAACAUAAACUUUUUUAUUUCUUCAUUCUUAAAGCUACUUUUGUACUACGGGUUGCAAUGUUUCAUAAUAAUAGCAGUGACCAAAAGCUCAUGCUAGAUAUAUAUAUGUUUGUGAUAGUCAAAUCAAAUAAAGUAAAUAAUAGAGAAAAAAGAUAAAAUAAAUUAUAUAAAAUUAAAUAACUGAAAACAAUAAGAUAAACAGUUUUACCUUGGUAGCAAGUUAGGGGGGAAAUAACAGUAUGGCCCUUCAUCGUAAGAAAAAUAUAGUGAUUUUAGUUUAUGCAAUCCCACUAAUUCUUCUGGUAGCUCAUAAAUAUUAGUCUCCAGCAAUGCAAAAAUCUCAAGGUUUUCCAGAUUCCUCAAUGAUGAGAUGUUCUCAAGCUCACAAUUUAUAAUGCACAGAGUUCGAAGGUUUGUCAAGAAUUGAAGUGCUUUGAGUGCGAGUACCACAUCUUGAAGAAGUAAAACUUGGAGGGUUGUCAUUCUUUCAAAAAAUGCACACGAAACUCUCAGUGAAUUGUUUCCUGUGAGAAACAAAGUCUUGAGUUUUGAAAAUUUCACUUUGUUAGGAAGAUGAUUGAUCUCAAUGUUCCAUAAGGAGAUUGCCGUAUAACAUCCAAACCUUUCACUCAUAGGCCAUUCCGUCAACCAAUCUUUUACCAUGAAUAUGUUUUCCCCUCUCGAUGUUAUCCAAUGAGCAAAAUCACGAACCACAUCAUGCAUUUUUAUAUGUUCUUUAUCAUUAGCUUCCAAUAAUAAACCAGACUUUUGGAGUUUUGACAGUGCUAGAUGAAUUUCCCUCCUUAAGUCUUCCAUGAAGUAAUUAUUAUUAAACAAUCCCUGACCAAUUCCACAUAUAGUCAACAAUUCAAUACUAAUCUCAUAAUCUUCCGGAAAAAGGGCACACAACAAGAAACAUUGCUUGAUAUUAUCUUGAUCCAAAUAAUCAUAACUAAGCUCAAGGCAUGUAUAAAUACCUCCACAAACAUGUUGAUUAUCCAAAUGCCUUGAGCUCUUGAGUCGUUUAUUUGCUGCUAUCCACGCAUCUAGACUUUCACCUUUUAGAGCCUUUGCCACAGUUACAAUUGCAAGAGGCAAACAGCCACAUUCAGGAGCAACCUCCUUCGCUACAUUCAAGGUGGGAGAGUCAUCUUUCAGACCAGCUUUGUCUUUGAAUAAAACCCAUGCUUCAUGUUCAGAUAAAAUGUUCAGCUUAAAUUCCUCUUCACAAUCCAUUUUACAACAAACUUGUUGAUCACGUGUAGUUAAAAGAAUUUUGCAACCCUCGUGUUCACCACCGAAUGGAAUUCCUAUAAUUUGCAAUUCAAGUUCUUUCCAAACAUCAUCGAGAAUUAUGAGAAUCUUCUUCUCACUUUUUAAUCUCCGCCAUAACUCUUCUGCUUUUCCUUUUUCUGUACUUGCUUUAAAGUUAAAAUGUAAGAUUUCGGCAAUUCUGUCUUGAAUUUUGUUGAAGUUCGGAGUUUGGGACACUGUAACAAUCACAACUUUAUCAAAGAGCUUUUGUUCCGUAGCUUGCUUCCCCACUACUUCCGCCAAAGUUGUUUUACCCACUCCUGGCAUUCCAUGCAAUCCAAUCAUGUUCACACCAUCACUUUUUAAAGCCUCCAUAAUCCCACUGAAAGCUAACAUUGAAGAUUCGGAACGCAUGAAAUCCUUGGGUACUAUGAACUCUAUUCCUUGAAGAGGAGGACGCUGGCCGACUCGUGAAAAGUUACAAGUCUCUAAAAGCUUAGAGAUAUCAAGUGUCUUCUUCUCUACUUCCUUACUUAAAGAGGAUCUCCAGCUCAUACCAGACAGCCAUUUGGAACGCUUGUUACUUUCUAUUUUAUCUGACAAAUUCUGCACAUCUUUCAGUUCUUGUCUUGCCUUCGUUAGCCAUUCCUCAACGUCAUGAUUAAUUACCUCAGUUUGCCUUUCGGCUUCAUUCACGUCAUUCUGUACCUUAUCGAUUGCAAGUAUAAGUUGUUCCCUCUUUGCAUUGAAAUCUUCAAUAAUUUCAUCAAAACCGAAAAUAGGUUUUCCCAAUUUCCCUGCCAAUUUUUUCAGAGCAUUUGUAGUGAUAUUGGCAGCGACAUUGGAAAACACAGAGGUUGCAAAUUCAGCAGGACUGGUUUCCUUAGUAUCCAUUCACUGAUUAUCUGAGGUUGAAGAACAGGUUUGUUUGAGCAAAAGUAGUAACAGAGAGACAAAAGAAAUUAUUAAAAAUUUCAUUUUGUAAUAUAUAAAAGUAAAAAAAAAAUCAAAAAAAGAAAGAAAAUUGCAAAAAUCAACUUCUACAAAGCUAUAUUGGAAGCUAUGUUCUUUAGUUAUUAAAUAUUAAUGCAUUACAAAAUUGACUAAUAAUGACAAAAUUUCAUAGUUGAAAAUUUGCAGUGGAUUUGGUUGACUAAUAACUACUACUAAUUAUUAAGAAACUGUUUCCCCUAAACCCAAGAGAUCAGCUCACAGAAAAAUAAAAUAAAAUGCAAAUAUCUGUCAAGCUAAGAUGAAAAGAAUAGCUUAAUUUGAAAAUAGAAAAUAUCAGCCAAAGCAUCUGAACUCGAAAAUAUAUACUCAACUGUAAAACCAAGAAGAGGAUGAAGAUUUACAUACCAAGGAAAUAUAUGUGAACUUUGAGGAGCCAAGACAGAGCUUCAUAUAUUUCAGACACUAACAAAGUCGGUGAAGGUUUUUUUUUUCUUUUUUUUUUUGACAAAUAAAUUAUUUAUACUCAUAAGGACAUAUUUACGAAAUAAUAGUGACUAAAUUUCAUAGUUGAAAUUUGUCAGUGGAUUUGCUUAACUACUAGUAGGAAUCAGUUUUCUUGUGGAUUCCAAAUAGUAAAGUACCGAAAAAUCAAAUAUCUACUCAAAUGUAAAAUCAAGACAACUAAACCGCCAAAGAGACAGAUGAAAAUUUACAUACCAAGGAAAUCUAUAGAUGAACUCAGGGGAGCCAAGACGGGCUUCUGUUUUGAUCCAGGCAAUCUCACAAGGUCGUUGAAGUUUUUUUCUUUGUUUUUUUAUUUUUUUUUGUGUUCAAAGAAAACUGAAGUUGAAAUAAACUUUGCACUGCAAUGAUGAGAAGGCCAAGGAAUUAAUAAAUAACAGACUUACACUUGUCUUCUUUUUAAUGCGUAUAGAUAAUUCUGCUUCUGGAAGGUACUGAAAUCCUUUCUUGAAACUUACCACUCUGUUCUCACUACUUGAAUGUGAAAGGGUAAGAGACAAAUACAAGUUUCUAGCUCUCUGCUUCACACAAAUGCCAUGAGUGGAUUGUAACUGUAGACGAUCAAAACUGUUAAUUUGGCCACACAAAAUAAUUCAGUGCCAAUUUUGCAUGUAAAGAUUGCAGAUGUAUUCUCAAAUGCAUAAACCAUAGAAGAAAAUGAUGCACAUAUAUACCAAGGAAACAUGAAGUUUGAGGACCCAAGGCCAAGCUUUUCUCUAUUGAUCAAAGAAAACUCAAGUAGAAAUCAAGUUUGCACUAUAAUAACCAAAAGCCCACUAGCAGAGGGAAUUAAUAAACAACAAAUAUCUGUCAAUCUAAGAUCAAAAGAACAACUUAAUUUGAAAAUAGAAAACAUGUGUCAAAGCAUCUAAACUUGCAAAUAUCUAUACUCAAAUGUAAAACCACAGAAGAAGAGGAUGAACAUUUACAUACCAAAGGAGUAAUACAUGAACUUUAAGGGGCCAUGACAGAGCUUCUAUUUUGAUCCAGCCAAAAUAUAUUACAGAAACUGACAAAGUCGGUGAAGGGUUUUUUUUUUCUUUUUUUGAGUUCAAAGAAAACUGAAGUUGAUAUAAUAAACUUUGCACUGCAAUGAUCGGAAGGCCAGGAAAUUAAAACAACAAAAAGACUUUCACUUAUAAUUCUGUUUCUGAUAACAAAAACAGUAGUUGAACAUAGAAAGUAGAAACUCUUAAGGCAAAGACUUGUUUUCUUUGGAGUCGUGGAGAUACUCUGCUGGUUGGCUUUCCAGGAAGUGUUAUUGGAACAGACCACCUUCAACUUGCAUAUUGAUGUUAUUGGAACAAAGUGGAAACUUUAAAAAACGGGUGAGCAUUAUGGUAAGUCUAACCUUAUUGUAUGGUCAAUAAAUAUAAUUAAAAAAAAUAAUAAAAAUUUGUUUGAUAGUUUAACAAGUAAACUAUAUACUUAAUUUUUAAGCAUAUCCAUUUUAUUUUAUGUUAAUAACAUAGAUCAUUUUUAAAUUUAUUUAUUUUUUAAAUAUCAUUUAAUUUUAAUUUUAUUUUUAUCUUAAAAUAUAUGAAUAUUUUUAUUUUUAAUAAUAACAUUAUUUCUAAAUAAUUUAAUUCAAUCAAAAUUUUUUUUUUUCUCAAUUAAGCUUGUUAUCAUGGUAGGUUACGUUAAAUCUUACAUAGUUACAUCAAUAUUUAAACAAUUUUUGUUCCACUUUUAUGAUUUUUUAUGUUAAUUCUUAUAUAUUUGCGUUAAGAUUUUUUAAUUGUUAAUUUUUACUAUAAUUAUUUUUAUCCUUAUUAUUAUUCAUUUAUAAAUUAAAAUUUAAAUAUUUAAUUUUUAUAAAUAUUAUAUUUAUUUUAACUUAAUUGAUUUAUUUUGUUAAAUUUUAUAUAUUUAUAUUAAUAUUUUAAUAACAAUUAUUCCACUUGCAUAAUUUUUUACUUUAAUUUUUAUAGAUUUACGUCAUACCUUUUCCUUUUUUUUUUAAUUGAACAUAUUGUCUCCUAUGAUUUCAAUAUAUUGAAUCUGUAUAAAUCACUAGUUGCAAACAAAAAAAAAAAAAGAUCUCCAAGCUUUCUUUUUUCUUUUUUCCUUUUCCUAAAUUUGGAACAAUAGAGAGUCGACUCCUAAUUCUUUGAACAACAGCUACAUAGAUCAAUUACUGAGUGUCUAAGUCAAAUGCUUGGGUGCAUCCACAAACUUCUGUUGAAUUACUUUAAUAAAACUUAAGUUAAUUUCUCUAAAAAUUUACCAUGAUUCAAACGUAAGUUCACACCUUCUAUUUAUAUUAAUUUCUUUAAUAUAACCUUUUAUUACGUAAGUUCAGACUUUCACUUAUCUUCUUUGGAAUGCAUGCAGAUUAUAAUUCUGCUUCUGAUAACAAAAACUGUAAUUGAAUAUAGAAAGUAGAAACUCUAAGGCAAAUUAAGACUUCUUUUCUUUUGAAUCUCUUUUUCUUUUUAUUGUUACUAAUUUUUCUUAUUCAUAUCCUUAGUGAAUGACAAGGGCCCCAACAUCUUAUGCCUUAUCAUUGACCAAUUCUCUCACAAAAAGACUGGAAAAAAAAAAGUAAAGAAUGGAGUCAUGAAAACUCUCUGCUAAGGACACUGGUUUUUUUUUUUCUUAUAAUUGGGGAGGGGGGAUUCGAACUUUACUUUUUAAGUAGGGAGAUUACACACCAACUAAUAAAUCAAAUGUUCGGGUGCAGCUGAGGACCUUGGUUACCUUCCAGGAAGUUUUAUGAAAACUAGAGGAUGGGCUUGCGAGGAUGUCAAUGUAUAGAAAAUUUUUGAAAUUCUGCUUCAAAUUCAUUGAAUGAAUAUAUUAAAAUGAAAAGCCAUAAACUUAUAUGUAUUAUAUGUGUGAAACUGAUGGCUUUUCCGUCACAUUUAACAAUAAAUUGAAGUGGAUCAAACCUUAAGCAGCUGAUUUUUGAAAAAGCAUUUGGUUAAUUCUCACUCAAAGACAAAAUAUUGAUGAAAGUCUAAUUAAUGCAAAAUUGACUUCAUCAGAAAAUCAUGCCUCCUCGUGGUUAAUUAAUGUAUCUGUCUGAUUAUUUCAUUGGGAGGGUAAAAUAAAAUGAAUGCCUCUUCUCCCGUCCUUCUCCUCUUCCCUAAAGAACAUGUGACAGUGGGUCCGCACUUUGAAUAUUGUGUGUAAUAGGGAAGAAAGAGGUUUGGUCAGUCGUCACCUAAUUCAUUAUCUCUGCUCUAAAGUUAACAAAGAAAUAUUAAUUUGGAAUUAGGACUCUUCUUAGCUCUUGCUUUCGAAAGAAUUAAGUCUAACACGAAAAUCUUAUUUAUCAAAGUAAAAGGGAGAUUCUUGGAAUUUUCCCAGAUAUUUUUGAUUCAUGGUGGAAUAUUUACGCCACAAAAUUUUUGAUUCUUGGAAUUUACUUUUAUUCUAAGGAUAAUUAAGUUCAUACCUUUCAUUUUUUCUUUGUGUAUAUAUGCAAAUGAGACACAAAAUUAUUGGUGGAAUUUUGAAUUAUUGAUGCCUUUCUUUUUGUCGUUUUUCAUUUAUUUUUCAGUAUUAAUAUCUGAUCUACUUGGUUAGUUUACAUGAAAAACACUUGACUCUCCUUUUAAAUAGAAACUACUAUUAUUAUCUCGUAAGUGUCUUUAAGAGUUAUCACUUUACCCUAAUUUAUAUUUCUGUAGCAAUUAAGCAUUACUUGGUAAAUUAUCUUCUAGAAAUGGGUAACGACCUACAUUUAGAAGCAUUUUGUGAACUUUUGCGGUGCUAAAUCAUCAUGGACAAAUUUUAGUGAACAAAAGAUUCUUCCCGCAGCAGCUUUCUAAUAAAUUCUUAUACAUGAUGUAAUCAUGAGUGUUGUUUCUUGAGCCGGAAAUGACUUUAUUUAUAGGGAUGAAUAGAAUAUAACAUAUCCAACUUUGAUAUUCAAAUAAUAGAACAAAGUCAAGACAAGAUAAGUGUUUUGCUUAAGAAAAAGAAGAAUAAAGGAAAGGAAGACAGAUAGGCCAAUUUGGAUUUAGUUGACUUAUAGUUACGAUGACUUGCACUCAAUCCUAUAGAUGGGCCAAAGAAAUUGAAUUACUUCAAUGAAGCAUAGAUUUCCCCUAAAUAAAAUUUACUUUUAUUCUAAGGAUAAUUAAGUUCAGACCUUUCAUUUUUUCUUUGUGUAUAUACGCAAAUGAGACACGAAAUCAUUGGUGGAAUUUGAAUUAUUGAUGCCUUUCUUUUUGUCAUUUUUAAUUUUUUUUUCAGCAUUAGUUUCUGACCUACUUGAUUGGUUUACACAGAAAACACUUGACUUUCCUUUUAAAUAGAAACUACUAUUAUUAUCUUGUAAAUGUCCUUAAGAGUUAUCACUUUUCCCCUGUUUAUAUUUCUUUAGCAAUUAAGCAUUACUUGGUAAAUUUUCUUCUAGAAAUGAGUAAGGACCUACAUUUAGAUGCAUUUUGUGAACUUGUUGUGGGGCUAAAUCAUCGUGGACAAAUUUUAGUGAACGAAAGAUUCUUCCUGCAGCAGCUUUCUAACAUAUUCUUAUACACGGUGUAAUGAUGAGUGUUGUUUCAUGGGCUGGUAAUCGCUUUAUUUAUGGGAAUGGAUAGAAAAAGAUAUGCGUUUUGCUUAAGAAAAAGAAGAAUAAAGGAAAGGCAGACAGAUAGGCCAAUUUGAAUUUGGUUGACUUAUAGUUAUGAUGACUUAUACUCGAUCCGAUAGAUGGGCCAAAGAAAAAAAGGGAGAAAAGGAUGGAGUUCAUGGAAAUGCUCUCGUAAGGACCCUGGUUGGCUUUCCAGGAAGUGUUAUGGCAAGAGGAUGGGACUUGCGAGGAUGUAAAUGUAUAGGAAAUUUUCCAACUGACCACAAUUGUUGAAAGUCUGCUUCAAAUCUCUGAGUGUUCUUUUUCUUUUUUUGUGCUCCUACGAAUUUAGAAGAAAAUCGAUACAUUAUUAUGAAGACUUCCUUGUUUAAUGUAGUCAUCAGUUUCACAAUUAGUUCAAUCUUUUUUACUGAAGCAUAUUUAUAGUAUAUUGUCCUUGUUUAAUAUACUUGUAUAAGGAUUAGUAUAAUUUAUGAAGGGAGCCUUGUGAUGAAUGGUGGUAGUUUAUCUGACCGCCUUCUGAUGCAUCUUUCUUUAUCAUGAAGGGAGCCUUCACAACCAAAUAAAGUGGGACAAAAAGAACAAGCAUUAUUAAUUUUAUGUUAACAAGUAGUAUAGCAUAUAACAAAUAAACAAAAAUCAGUGAUAGUACAGAGCACUGUUAUUUCUCUUCGUCCCCAAAUAGUUUCUCUAGUUCAGAAGCAACUUCUGCUGUGAUUAUUUAUAGUUUUGGCAGAGCAACACUAACUGGAAAGAGACUUUUCAGUUUAUUGCAGCCUCCAAUUCUGGUUUUAUUCAGUGCACAUAAACAUAGAGGUUGGAAUGAAUCCUUUGAUGAUGAUGAUCCAAUUCCAAGUGCAUGUAGAAAUGAUCCAAUCCCAUUUUAUAGUUCUUUUUACUAGAAUUUUCUUUUGAUAUAGAGUAAUCACUUAAUUUUUUAAAAUUCUUUUGGUGAACUUGUUGCAUGGCUAUACUACCAUGCCUAGAUCUUGUAGGUAGGAGUAGCAAUCAAACUUUUCAGUAUUUCAAUAAAUCACUCGAAAACUUCUCAAAAUAAAAAUCUGCCUGGUUUUAAUUUUUCAUGUCUUAAUUCCUACCUAACAUAUUUACACAACUUAUUCACCAAAAAUUUAAAAUACAAAAAAUAAGGAUAAGAAACAGAGAAAUUUCACUCUUGUUUUUCUACUUAUUGCACAUAUAGAGAGCAACAUAACAUUGAUUGGGUAAAUUAUUGAAUUCGAUUGAAAACUCCAUUAAGCAAACAUCUUUAACAGGUCAAAAAUUAUUUUUAAAAUUUUUGAUUUUGUAUAAUAUUUUAAAAAAUAAUGAUCAAAAUUGAGUUUAUUUUUAAUGAAAAAUAUCCAAUAGAUACAAACAAAAUGGGAUGGAGAUAGCAUGUAUUUGUAAUAAUAUUCGGUUCCGUUGAUGAAUAUUUUUGCUUUCUUUUCUUUUCUCUUUUUUGCAAAAAAAGAAUAGAAAGGAAAAGGAAAAAUAAAAAAAUAAAUAGCAAAAAAGAAGAGAUAAAAGUAUCAAACUGGUACGGAAUUUUAAAAAAUAGUCAUGUAAUAUGGAUAAUUAUGGAAAUAAAAUGUAUGCUAUGGUAAGAAAAGGAAAUUAAAUUGAACUUACUAAUUCUCUUGCUUUUGAGCCUUUUUUGUCUUUUGAUAGGGUUAGCUUUUUAGUCUCAUGGUUUAUGAUGCUACCAAUUUUUUUGAGUAGCAGAUCCGAUUUGGAAAUUGUACAGGAUCUCUUCACCCUCACCAGCAGUUUAUAUUAUGAGAGUCUUUUGCAAAUUAACUUGAGACUUGAAAUGACAUGUCAGGUGUUAAGAUAAAUAAAAUCCACUUUUCAAAAAAAAAAAAUCUAAUUCUAAGUGCAUGUAGAAAUGGUCCAAUCUCUUUUUAAAAUUCUUAUUGUAAGCAUUACUUGGUAAAAUUUUUUUCUAUCAAUGAGUAUUUACUUUAUUUUAAAUGCUUUUUAUGAACCUAUUGCCUGGCUAUACUACCAUGGUCAGAUCUUAUAAGUUGGAGUAACCAUCAAACUCUCAAUAUUUCAAUAAAUCACUUGAAACUUUUAUAAAAUAAAAAUCUACCUGCCUUGUAUAGGGAAAUUAAAGUUUAAUUUUCCAUGUCUUGAUUGCUGCAUAACAUAUUUGCAUAACCCUAAAUACAAAAAUAAAGAUAAGAAACAGAAGAAUUUCAAACUUGUUCUUCUGCUUAUUAUACAUAUAAAGAGUAACAUAACAUUGAUUGGGUAAAUUAAUGAAAGCAAGUGAUCCCUUCGCUUGACAACUCUAUGAAACCAACAUCCUGACCGACGAAAAGCACAAUAAUUUCAAGUAACUGUUUUUCUCUUCUUUUUUAUGUAAAUAAUAAAAGUUAGCACAAGUAAAUCACCAAAACUUGAUUAAGACUAGGCAAAUAGGUGAAAAAAAUGAAAAUGGAAAGCAACCUUUGCUUUACCAGUGUUUACUCAUUGAUGUUUAAAAAUACCUUUGCAACUUCCCCUGCAAUCAUCUCACCAUUCUUCCAUGUAAGGUGGCAGCUGAUAAUUAAUCCAACUUUCUCGGUACCAUUCUACGGUCUUGGUGUGGACUACAUUUUGAGCAGCGGCGGACCCUUCAGUGACGUCUUGCUUAACUAGUAGCGAUGCCUUUUUAAACAAUUGAAAAAGUGAAAUAUAAAAUAAAAGUAUUACUGCAGAAGGUAGGAAGGAACCAAAGUCAGCGUACCAGUUGGAACCCCAACCUGCCCCAGCGAAGCUUACGCCAGGUGGUUUGCCGACAGGGGUUACCAGCCCACCAUCACGGGGUACUCAGAGUGAAUCGUCAGGUGGACCGGGUUGCCCACUUAAUCAGAGCACAGGAGCCUGCAAAAACAAUAACCCACAAGGCAUGUCAAACUUGCCAUGGAAGUAAAACCUGCUUACAUUUUGUAGUCUUCAGCUAAUUGCGUGGUAGGCACGGGCUCUUGUGUUGUGUUAGUAUUCAUCAUAAGCAGGCAGGCUUCAGUUUGUAAUUUAAGCAUUGUGUAAGUGAAGUAGAAUUAUGCGUUAUCUUGUACUUUGUGACCCCGUUGCUAGAUAGCUAGAAAGGGCUACUUGGGCAGACGGCUGAGGGGAUGCUCUUUGCACUUGUAAGGUGAUGUUAGAAGUUUGAGAAAAGGGCCAUGCUCUUUGGUGUUUUAGACUGAGAUGGUGAGUUAGUUUGACUUCCUUGUCUUUGUUGUAGUUGCUUCUUUUGUUGCCCAUCAGAGUUAACUAGUGUAAUUUAUCUGUUUCUCCAUUCAUCAUUAUCAAGUUGAUAUUGAUGCUAGUUGAGCUCAGCUGGGUGUUUACUUAUAUGCGGACGAUGGGUGACGAUGCUUUCAAUGUUGAAUGCUAAUUUGCCACUAUUGAUCUCUCCACUCAGCUUUCGUAUGCAUUUCUGUAAGAGACAUCAUUAUUCCUAUAUCUGAUUGCCAUCCAACAUAAAAAAAAAAAAAAUCUCAUGUUAUGAGGGCAAAAGAAAAAAAUAUACAUAUUAUGAUUUAUAAGCAUUUUAAGCCAAAAUUCAUUCAAGUUGGAUUUAGAAAAUUUUUUUCUUUUAUUAAUUUUCGAUGAUUUAGAAAAGAGAGGUUUAGUAAUUUUCAAUAUUUGUGAAUUUUGGAAAGAUAAUGUUAAAAAAAUCAUUAGUAAAAUUAUGUUGCAAUUAGCUUUUACAUUUGUUUAAGAUAAUAAAUGCAUGCUGCCAAUAUAAAUGUUUUGUUAGGAAGUAACAGAAAAAAAUUAAGAAAAUACUUUGUGCUUUCCAUCAAUUUGUCAGCCUUGUCCAUCAAGUCCAAAACGGAAGCAAUGAGGGUGCGCAACUAGAGAACGGGGAAUGGACAGUGUGGGUUUCAAGAAGAGUUGUGUUCAUUGAAAUGAUAGAAAUUUUUGUAAGCGUAAGUAAAAUGAUAUAAGUGAAAACUUAAGCUCUCCAAGGUACAAUCGGCAUACCUUAUAAGACAUUGGAGGCUUGCAACUUGGAUGGGACUACUCAUAAAUCCCAAAGAAAGUACACAUAGCAGUCUAUGCAUCUAAUUACUCAUAAAUCAAAGGGAUUACUUUAAUAUUCGUUUGAUUUGGUUACAAAGGUCAAUUAACUUAUGACUUGACACGUAAAAAGUCGAAAGCUAACUUUUUCUAUUUUCAAAAAUUUAGAUUAGUUCAUAUCUUUUUAUUAUAUCUAAUUAAAUCUCUGAAUUGUUAUUUUUCACUAUAUAUUAAAAUAAUUUUAGAUGAAAUUCAUGGAUGACUAUUAAUCCCUUAACAUUUAUAAGGCAUGUGAAAAAUAUGAUGUCAUAAUAAAAUACUGGUUAUAUUUACUAAUUAGAUCAGUAAACUAUAUUUAUUUUACCAUGUCAUGUGUCCAUCAUUGCCGCAUCAUAUUUUCCACUUGUCCUACAAAUGCCAACAUUGUCACAUAAUAUUUCUCAUGUAUCCUAUAAAUGCCAACAUGACAAGGGAUUAAUGCGUCCAUGGAUUCUAUAUAUCCAAAUAAGGGAGAGUGUUUGGAUAGUGAAAUAUUAUAUUUUAGAGCUUAAUUAAACAGCUUUAAAAGUCUCUUGCGACAUAUAAUGUGAAACAUCCGCGGCCAAAUCCCCAACAAAGAUUGUGUAAUCAAGACCCUCAUCUUGCCUCUUUUCCCCGUAUCCAAGUGCCGCCCAAUUCAAUCUAAAAUUCUAUAAACAGAGGGAAGAGAAUCCAUAAUAAAUAAUAAAUAAUUUACAACCGUCAGAGCUAUAAUUUCUUACUCUAUCUCUUCAAAGUAAGAAAGUAACUCGAACAUCCUCAAAAAUUGUAUGAAAUUCCAACUACGUGAUGUCAAAGUUAUCAGUUUUAUAUCUCCUAUUUGACAUUUGCAUUGUAAUUUUGAAAGAAGUAUUAAAUAAAUGUAUAUAUCCAUUAGAUUUGUGUCAUUUUUUUUUAUGUUAAACUUGUAAUUUUUACAUCCAAAUGUUGAUAUCGUUUUUCCAAAAGUUACAUUUUUCUUAUUUAAAAGCCAUAAAUAAACAUAUAUAUAUAUAUAUCCAUUAGAUUUGUGCUAUUUUUUUCAUAUUAAACUUGUGAUUUUAACAUUCAAAUAUUGAUAUUGCUUUUUCAAAAAUUAUAUUUCUCUUGCUUAAAAGCCAUAAAAGCAUAUUGAGUUCGGCUAAGUUAAGGCCUAUACAUAUCAAGAAGAAGUGGGCUUUACCCCUGUAACAUGGCUAAUUUGAUGGAAAAAAAAAAAAAAGCUCAUUUUCAGAGCUACUAGUAAGUCCAAAUUUUUGUUUAAAAAAAAUCAUCCAUACGGUUGUAAAAUUAUAUCUUAAUUUCACCAUUUUACCAUAUUUGUAACAAUUUUGUAAUGUCAUGUCAAUAUUUAUUAUAAUUUAUUAAUAUAUCAUAUUGAUGUUAUCUGAUUUAAAAUAAUAAAUAAUAUUUCAAUUAUUAAUACUAAAAAUUUAUUUAAAUAUAAAUUAAAAUAAAUAAAAAUUUAUUUAAAAUUGUAAUACUAUAUAUGUCUAAAAUAUUAAAAAAAUAAACUAAAAUCUUAAAUUUCAAUCUUUUACAAUAAUUUAUCUUAAAACUAAAUUAAUAUAAAUUAUUAUUUUCUAGAGGUUUUUCUUUCUUGCAGAUUUUUUUUUGUUUUGCUGUUGACUUUGAUAAUUAUGAUUAGGAAGACGACAUUAACUUCUUCUUUUUUGUUUUUUUUUAUUAAGUAAUAUUAUUCUGUUUUUAAUAAGAUAUAUAUGAAUCAUUAUUGUUUAUGGAAUUAAUGAAAAAGAAAUUUUUUUGGCCUUCCCACUUUAUGGGUUGUGGGUCCCGCGCCCGUACGAGUGCGUUCAAACAAGCAUCGGCAGGGGCGUCAAAUAACCUGACGGUAUUCGCCCCCACCCCAAAUAAAAAUAAAAAAUAUAAAUAUAAAGUAAAUAAACAGCCCGAGACCCAGAGAAGUUACGGACCCGAAGCCUGAGAGGAGUCGAAAAAGGAAAAAGAAAUUGGUUAGUCUCCGUCGUUCCCUUCCAAACCUUAAAAAGUACAACUUUCCUGGCCUGCUCCGGAACUCUCUCGAACUUUCUCUAAUCUACCUAUUAUACCCUCCCACACUUUAUACUCCUAAGUUCUGUCUAUUAUGGCUGUACCUCUUGCAUUGUGAACAUCUCCAUGCUCGACUACCUUCACCAGCUGAUGGAAUCCUUUUCCUUCUAGGUCUUCCCGCUUGGCUUCACCAAGGUGGGGGCAAGACGAUAAUUUAUUUCACAUGAGGGGGGAUGUCCCACUCACUAGGAUGCCCUACAGGCCUAAUGGAUCAUGAAUAACCCUCCACCAAAACGGUUGUCUUAUAGUAGUCAAUGCAGAAUUCAAUGGCUUCACGAUUGCAUUUACUGAAAAAUACAAUAAACUCAAUCGUCAAGCACAAUGUAAAUGCUAUGUCAAUUACUGUUCAAAUAAGAAAUAAAGAUAUUCUGAUCUUAUUGCUGCAAUGGCAUGGCUGCAUGGCAUUAAAUCUGUUUAGAACUCACAAGAUGAACAUGUCUUCCUAAACAGGUUUAUAAGUCUGUCCAUCUUCCCGUCUUUAACUUCAAACUCCACUCGAUUGAUAGGCUUAACUAGAAAGCGAUGUGCAUCAUUGAACCGUUUGCUCAACUACCUGGCAACCCAAAGGCUGAAGGGCGUGGUCACCUUGACGGCUUCCUCGUACCUGUCAUGGAACCAAUGCUGGAACAUAUCUCUGAUGAACUCGAUCAAAACAGUGAUUGGCAUUUGUCUUGUAUGCUUCAAGCAUGAGUUAACACAUUUCGCAAUGUUGGAUGUCAUCAUUUGGUAUCGCCUUGCCGGUGAACAUGCACGUGCCCAUUUCUCAGGCCCUAUUCUCAUAAGGUCAGCGUGGGCUCCCGAGUGAAUCUGCUGUAGCUGGUUCAUAUGUCUAUUGAAAUCAGCCACUUUAUAGCAAUCUCGAACAAGGGUAAAAAGCAUACAAACAUCGUCGCGCUUGAACUUGUUUUUAAAGUUUUUUUCAAGUGGUAACCACAUAAACCAUGGUGCGCUUCUGGGUAUGCAUUUUGGAUUGCUUUCUUAAUGUCGAGAUGCUGAUAAAAAAUGAACAUAGUGUUUUCAGGACAACCAACCGCAUCACGCAGCUUGCUAAGACACCACGUCCACGAGUCUUCGUCUUUAACAUGGCCGAUGCCAAACGCAACUGGAAAUACGCACUUGUUCGCAUCUUUGCUUACAGCGACAAACAGAACACCCUUGAACUUGCCUUUCAGAUGUGUCGCAUCAAUUGCAACCGUAAGAAGCAUUACAUCCCUAAACCCCCGAAUACAAGCCCCGUAUGACCAGAAACAAUAUUUGAAUCUUUCUUCCUCAUUAGUAGCUACUACAGUCACUGUGCCAGGAUUUUCUUGUUUCAACAUAUAAAAAUAUGAGAGUAGUAGUUGAAAUGACUCCUCCGGUGGACCAAAAACAAGCCUCUCCGCAUACUCCUUCGCUUGCUAAGCCUUACCAUACAAGCAUUCCAAUCCCCACUGAACCCUCAUCUCACAAAUUAUGUCCUUAGGUCUCAAUGCUACUCCAUUAGCUCGAAGCUUGUGUGACAUAAGUUCACCAAUCAUCUUUGCACUCGUAGUUGAAAACCGCCCUUGCAAACCAUCAACGGUACAGGUGUGUACUUUGUGGAAUGUCCGAACUUGCCAAUAUUCUCCUAUAUCAGGUAACUUCGUUGCACGCACACUGAACUUGCAUGCCUUGUCCUUGCAACCAACCUCAUAACGAGCUUUACAUGACAUUUUUACUCUUAUCGCAAACUUCUCUUUUAUAACCAACAUGUUCAAAGCUCGUUUCAACUCAGCCUUUGAUGAAAACAUUUUUCCUUUGUAUAAGCGAUCUUCAGCACAUGUCGACUCCUUAGUGGUAAUUGUUUGGAAGGAGAACCUUUCUGCACCUGCAAUUACCCACGUACAAGAUAUCCCUGUAUUUUCCCUUUCUUGAUCACUGUCAUCGAGCAAUGCAUUAAGGGAACAAAUCCCGUUCUCACCAGUGAUGGGGUUAUUGUAUAUGGGGUCAUCACGCUAAACAUCUAGGACAUCAACACCUCCAACAGGUUCCGUUUUGCCUUCAACAUUAUUACGAAUUGGAAUGUCACUGUCACAAAGGCAGUCAUCGUCUGAAUUGUCAUCUUGCCAUUGUUCAAGCCCAUCAUUUGAAGUGUCAUCAAAUCUAUCUUCACCAGCAGUGAACAAAUCCUCAUUUCCCUCAUCAAAUGCAGUAUUAUCCUCUAGUGUCGUAGUGUCACCCUCCAACCUCACAUUGUUGUCCUUAAGUGUCGUAUUCUCAUUUAACAAUGGCAUUAUGCACUCUACAGUUUCACUUGAUCGUUGCAUUUGUUAGAGAAAAACAAGAAAUUGGUUUGAUGCACAUCCUGAUCGAAAUUGUGUAGCCAACUAUUCUGUGAAUGUCGUUUGUCUACCGGGCUGCAAAAGCUCUUGUGCAUACCUCAAUUGCCAUUGUUAUGGGUUCCGAAUCGAAUGCUGUGGUAUAUGUGAAGCAUUUUAAAUCUCAUUUUGAUUGAUCUGAUUACCAUGUUGUCCAACUUCUUCAUGUGACAUAACAUUUGUUCGGCGUCCCUUAAUGCUGACAUACACAGUCGAAACAUUCCUCUGUUCUAGCAGAAUUAAUGCAACAUCCUCAUCGUCCUUAAUAAUUGGCCGUGAUAGCUCUCCAGGCAUAUUGAUCAAUGCAUGUAACUCAAUCUUGUCAAUUUCUGAGUUUACCCCAAUAAAAUCUUCAACCAGCUUCAUCAAGCCCGCAAACGACAAAUCACUCCUAACCUCCCGCAUUCGUGACUCACCACCCUUGUAAAUGCCAUCCACCCACUGACCACCAUGUCUUAUCACAAGUCGCACAAUUGGAACCCCACUGAAAUUUUGAAAAAAAAAUAUUGUUAAUCAUUUUACACAAUACACGUCGUGAUAAAAAAUUUAUCAGUCGUGUUGUUACACGCCAUGCAUAUAACGUAAAAUAUUGUAACACAUCAUGCAUAUCAAAUCAAAUGUCGUGACACGUCAUGCAUCACUAUCGUGACAUGCCAAUCACAGUAAUUACUGACUCGUUACACCAACAACCAUGACACUGUAAAAACCCAAAAAACCAGUUUAUCCACAACACGCCAGGAACAACCGUGACACACCCAAAACCCAAAAAACCAGUUAACCCACGACACGCCAGGAAUAGCUGUGACAUGCCAAAAACCCAUAAAUUCAGUUGUCAUGCCAAGAACAAUUGUGACACGCAAAAAAUCCAUAAAUUCAGUUAACCCACGACACGCCAGGAACAACCGUGACAUGUUAAAAACCCAUAAAUUCAAUUAACCCACGACACGCCAGGAACAGCCGUGACACGCUAACAACCAAAAAAACUAGUUAACCCACAACACGCUAGGAAUAACCGUGACACGCUAAAAUAACGCUAACACAUGUUAUAGAUGCAUGGCGUGUAACAACUCUGGGCAAUGUUUCUAAUCUAACUUCUAAUUUACACCAAAUGUUUCAGAAAUUUAAGUGUGUUGCAAAAAUAAACCCAAUAACAGGUACCUUGAUGUCAUCUCUGCUAUAGGGUCCGUUAAUCUACGAUAAUGUGGCCAGAUGCCUAGAGAUAGACCAUAGCCGAUGACGAUGGUGCUCAAUAGAGAGUUCACAGAGCUUAUACAGUUCAGAGAUCUAAGAGAGUUGACGACGAUGGUGCUCAACAGAGACUUGCCAGAGUUGAGACAGUUCAAAGAGUUGAGAGAGAAAGAUGACCGAGCCUAAACAGCUGCGCGCAUUUAUUUUUAUUUUUUUCUAUUUUCUCUUUGGCAUGAGGCAUAUAGCUCAAACAAAUGAGCAUUUAUUUGAAACGAUGUUUUUAAGGGUAUUUUGGUCUACUCAUGCUUAUUUUUUGCUAGAAACAGAUAAUUUUAUAUGGAUAGUUAUUUCUAAAAUCACCUUAUCACAAGGUCCUUUUCUUACAAUUUUCUCUUUUUUUUUUUGCUAUCAUUUCUUGUCUUCUUUUUGCCUCAAAUGUUUUUUUUUUAAGUUCUCAUUAAUUAAGAAGAUACAGAUUACUACUUCCAAAAAAAAAAAAGAAGAUAAAGAUUACAAAUGGGACAUAGACAUCAUUGCUAUCAAAGCUUUUGAAUGAUUGAUAAAUGUCUUUUAGAUUUUUGUCAUUUUGCAAUCAUUUUUACCUUGGGAUCCAUUUAUUUCUGACUUUCUUGCUUGGUAGGUUUAAUGGCUUUCAUGGAAAAAUACUUGCCCUAUUUUUUUUUUUUUGGAUUAAAUUCUGUGUUUUAAGGGAUUGAAGCUUUACACUUCGUUUAACACAAGGAAAAAUGGCGAAAUACAUCAAACGAUUCAUAUAGUGCAAGGAUCAUGUUUUGCUUGAAGAGAAGUAGAAGGUCAAGGCACAUCUCUACUUUUUGAGCUAUCAUUUACAGAUCCUUAGGAACGUUUCCUCCAUGGCUGGUGAUCUAACACAAGAAAGAAGAUCAUCUAAGCCUAAAUUGUUCUAAUCAAAGCUAUUUCGAUUCAUUGAUCCCUCGAUUAUUGUUCUUUAUUUUUUUCAUUUUUCAAUCAAUUUUAUCUUGAGUUGAUGGCUUCCAAUUAUGUUGCCCCUUUUCGUAAUUUUCUGAACUACUUUGUUGGUUUAAUGGAUUUCAUGUAAAAACACUUGCACUAUUUAUUUCAAUUUUGGGUUUAACUUUUGUGAUCAAAUUAUGCCCCCAAUGGAUGUAAAAUUUAAUGAAAAAAUAAAUAAAUAAGGUUCAAGAUUCAAUUUCAUGUAUUGAAAGAAGUACAAAUAAAAAUAUAUAUAUUGAAAGAUGUAACUAAUUUAGAUUAUUUAAGGUGAAUAUUCUGGUUCGGCCAAAGAAAAAAAAGGCCUUAUUCUGUAAAUGUUUUAUAGUAGUUGUCUCUAAAUUUUCUAUUGUUCUUUGUAAGGGACUACAAUUAUUUGAUAGUUCUAUGAAUCUAGAUUUGUCAUAUAAAUUAAGGCAGAAUUCCCCCUACCCCUUAAAUUAAAUCCCUCAGCCAAAAGAAAAAAAAUCCAAAAGUUAAACUCUACAAAAUCUAUUUGUCAUUGGAAAAAAAGGAAAGCCCAAGAAAUGAUUUCUUGGGCUGGAAAUGGCUUUAUUUACGUGGAUGAAUAAAACACAACCCUUUCAACGUUCAUAUUCAAACGUUGUACAAUUAAUGGAAUACGUAUUUUGUUUAAAUAAAAAAAAGAAGAUUAAAAGAAAGGAAGGCAGAUACACCAAUUUGGAUUUGAAUGAUUUAUAAUUAUGAUGAUUUUCAUAUUCAUAUUCACUUUUGUUAAUAAAAAAGUUUUUGAAAAAGAAUUUUUAUAGACAGUUGAAAUUUGGUGUUAAUAAGCAUAGGAAAAAUAAAAAAAAUAAGUAAUUAAAUAGACUUGAUUUUUUAUCAUCUCGGUCCAUCUCAUUAUCUUUGUUCUUUAUUGAUUUUUUUAUUAAAUAAACUCGACUUUGAUCAUUAUUUUUAAUCACAUCAUAAAGUUAUAAAAUUUUUGAAAAUAAGAUUUGUAAAUUUUGAAUUUUAAACUUUCAAAAUAUAUUUUUUGAAUUUUGAAUUAUAUAUAAUAUUUUAAAAAUAAUGAUAAAAAUUGAGUUCAUUAAUUUGACGAAAAAAAUCAAACAGAUAUAAAUAAAACGAGAUGGGGAUAGCAUGUAUUUGUAAUAAAAUUAGGCUCCCGUUGAUGAGUACUUUUACUUCCUUUUCCUUUUUCUAUUGCAAAAAAUGAAUAAAAAGGAAAAGGCAAAAUAAAUAUAUAAAAAAAGAUAAAAGUAUUAAACUGGCACGGAAUCUAAGUGCAUGUAGAAAUAAUCGAAUCCCUUCUUAUAAUUCUUAUUAUAAGCAUUACCUGGUAAAAUUUUCUUCCAUCAAUGAGAAAUUACUUCAUUUUAAAUGCUUUAUGUGAACUUGCUGCCAAGCUAUGCUACCAUGGCCAGAUCUUAUAGGUUGAAGUAACAAUCAAACUCUCAAUAUGUCAAUAAAUCACUUGGAACCUUCAUAAUAAAAGUGUACUUGGCUUGUAUAGGAAAAUUAAAGUUUUAUUUCCCAGGUCUUGAUUUAAAAAUCAAAAAUAAAAACAAGAAAUAGAAGAAUUUCAGGCUUGUUCUUUUACUUAUUGUACAUACAAACAGCAACAUAACAUUGAUUGAGUAAAUUAUUGAAAGCAAGUGAUCCCUUCCCUUGACAAGUCCAUGAAGCCAACAUCUUGACCAACGAUAAGCACAAUAAUUUCAACUACCCGUUUUUCUUUUUUUUUAUAUAUAUAUAUAAAUAAUAAAGGUUAGCACAAAUGAACCACCAAAACUUGAUUAGGACUAGGCAAACAAGUGAAAGAAAUGAAAAUGGAAAGUAGCCUUUGUUUUACCUGUGUUUAGUUGACGGCCCCAAAAUACUCCUUGAUAUUUAAACAUGCCUUUGGAACUUCUCCUACAAUCAUCUCAUAGUUCUUCCUUGUAAGGUGGUAGAUGAUCACCCGGACGCUGCCGGCGCCAAUCUAUGGUCUUGGUGUGGACUACAUUCUGAUCAGUGACAGAUUCUUCGGUGGUAUCUUGCUCAACCAGUUGCGGUGUCUUUUUAAUAAUUGAAACAGUAAAAUGUCAAACAAAAGUAUUAAUGUUACAUGUUAUAAGGGUAAAAGAAAAACUAGACAUUAUAAUUUAUAAGCAUUUUAAGUCAAAAAUUUAUUAAAGGUGACGGAAAGUGAUAUUCUAGACCAACAAUCAUUUAAGUAAUUUUUUUUAAAGUAUUUUAAGUAAUUUAAGUAAAGACUUUGAAGAUUAUGUCUUAUAAUAUUAUUAAAGACUUGAAUUGCCUUUGCACACACCAAAUAAAAGCUUCUAUUUAAUGCAGUAAUCAAUAGUAAAAGCUCUUAAUCAUCAUUAACAAUUAUGUUGGGAGGAUUUGGAGAAUGAAGAAGGUAUUUACAGUUUUUGUGAAUAAUAUUCUUGCAAGAGUCCAUUAUUGAAGAUGGCUUCAAAGGAUUUCUUAUCAAUUUGGAAAGGUUGUCAAUACAUUUAUAGGGAGAAAUAAAAGCAAAUAUGGUAAGAGGCAUCCAUUUAUCAUAUUUGGAUCUUUUAAUAAAGCUAGAAGAGCAGGCCAAAAUUUAAAUGGAGCCUGACUUCUUAACCAAAGGCUAGAGGAACCAAAAAGGAAGCUUCUUAUGGACCUAGUACUAACGACAAUGGGAAAGAAACCUGCAGUGGGAUUUUGAGACAAAACUCGACCUUAUUCACUAAGCCAUCUUAUGCUCUGGUAUUGAAGGGUGCUUUUGAAAGUGGUGGAGCUUCAAAUGAAGAGAGAGGAGAUGAUCUUCAAUGUCCUAAAAAGCAUGGAAAACAUGCUUUGUUUGAAGAGAAGUGUUGUGGUAACAACAUAAUGUAAUUCAGAUUCAGCAAAUUUAAUGGCAUUAUUUAAAAUGCAAGGCAUUUCAGGGCUGCUUGAGGAGUUUGUCUAACAAAGAAUUUCUGCUAAACUUUAAGGAUAAGGAGCUGUUUGAAGAGUUCAAAGAUAAAGGUUGGGAUUGGCUUAACAAAUGGUUUACUAAGGUGGAAACAUGGUUAGAGAAUUUUUCAUCAAAACUCCUUAGCAAGUGGUUUAUUGUACAGGGCAUCCUUUAGAUGUGUGAAAUAGGCAUAUUGUAAUUUAUAAGCAUUUUAGGCCAAAUUCAUUAAAAGUGAUAUUCUAGACUAAGUUUUGGUUGUAGUGUCACACACAAUCAUUUAAGUAAGUUAAGUAAAGACUUUGAGGAUUAUGCCUUAAAAUAAAAAAGAUUAAAGUUUUUAGGGUGUAUACCUCUAUUUUGGCGUGCACAUAUUCCUCUGAAUCUAUGAAGAAGCCUGUAGUCAUCUUGGGACAUUCUCUUACUUUCAAAGAAAUCAAAGCCGAUAAUACAAAGUGAUAUCCUCUCGGGCAGAAGUCAAUGAGGCUUGGCAGUUCUUUAAGUGAUAAAUAUUUUAAUUGAUCAAACUUUAUUUCUUUUUCAGUUAUCACUUCUACUUCAUCUUCAAGUUCAAACAGUUGCUCCAAUUUAGAGUUCCCUUUAACUGUUAACUUUUCAAGUUUUGGAAGACAACAAGCAGAUCCAAGGGGAAAGAGACAUCUUAGCCUCUUGCAAUCAAUCACCUUUAGAAUUGUAAGGUUUUUGAGAGUAACAACUUGAGUGACAUCCUUCCAUAUAAUACACACUUCAGAUAAAUCCAACAGGUAGAGUUCCCUUAUAUGCCCAUGAACAUGGAAUACCUCUUCAUGACUCCCAACUGCUAUGUAGUCUUGACUGCAAUUGGCAGAAACACGCAAUUGACAACUAUUUCCCAACUUAGACAGAAGUAAUUCCUGCAAAUAUAGACACCACUAAAUGUCACAAGUACAUUCAUUUUCUAUUAGAAUGGGAAUAGUUGAGCAAAUGCUACUAAUAAUUUUUCAUAAUUUUAUAUGCCACUUCACAAAAAAUCCUUACAAUUUUAACGGCAGCACAUAUAUAUGUUUCAAAAUUUAAAUCCAAAAGUUUCAUGAAAUUGUUUGAAAGUAGAAUCCAAAGACACCUAACCCUUUCAAGUUUUUCUCUGUUAAUUUUGAACUUAAAACCAUUUAUGGUUUUCCUUUUCGUUUGUAUUUUUCUUUGUCAUUUUGUCUUGAACAAUGUUGAUUUGAAAAGUAAACACAAAGUGAUAAAGUGUCAAUUUGUUUUUGUAAUUUUCCUUAAUUAUAUAUAACAACACAAAAGAAAUCCACCCCCCCCGCCCCCCCAAACGGAAAGCCUAAAUCUCUCAAUCUCUUUCUCUUGUCUGAAACUUGAAUUGAAGAAAGUAGAAACACCUUCAAUAAAAAAAAAAGGAACUCAUGGCCAAGAAGAAAAAGAAAACUUAAAUUGCAGAAGAAAGAGAAAAUGGAAUCGAAGAAGGAAAAGGAAGCUCGAACAAGAAAAAAGGAAUUGCUAGGAUGUCAUCGUGAAAAAAAUAUAUGAUGAAUUUGAAGUCAGAAACAAGGACAAGGAAAACCCAAAGAUCCCCAGGUUACCCACAAAUAAUAUUUAUUUUUCAAAAUAGAUAGUAUAAAAUUUUUGAAUUGUAACUUUAAAAUGUAGUUGGAUUAGUUUAUGAGUGUUGAAAAGAUUUGGUUCAAAGGUAAAAUCUAAAACUAUAAUUGAAGGAAAAGUGUAUAAAAGAUACCUUUAGUAGAACCUGCUCGUUAACUUCUUUUUGAAUUGUGAAAUUUGUCAAUUUAGGACAGUUCCAAACACCCAACUUCUCCAAGGAUGGUGAUGAGAUGAGAAAGUUUUCCGAGCAAAAGCAACUCAAAUUUAUCAAGUUUACAAGUAGUAAAUCUUGUAGGGAAGGGAGUGCAAUGGCACAAUCAACUCCAUUCUUUUCUUUUGCCACAUGGAAGACUUGUUGUAACUGAGGAGAAUUGCUUAUCCAAAAUGAUUUCAAUCGUGGAAGAACUUGAGCCAAAGGAAUUUGAAAAAUAUUUUCCAAUAUUGGACAAUGACUUAUUCGUAGAGUUUCCAAUUUUGGCAAAAACGACGAAUGGAGAUGGGUAUUUGUUUCUAUUUCAUCAUCACAGUCCAACUCGGUGAUAAUGUGUUGCAAUCCAUCACAAUGAUCUAUCUGGAGUUGUUCAAGGAGCACCAAGCUUUGAGCAAGGGAUGGUGAAAAGAGAUGUUUCAAUCUAUUGCAGUAACUAAUUUCGACAAACUUCAAGCUUUGGAGGCUGACAAAACAGGUGGACCCUUUCCAUAUCCACUUCAAUUCUGGUAAUAAUUUUAGCUCCAUCAGUGUUAAAUUUGACAACAGCGAUCCUUGAUUUUCUUUCGUAUCAUGAAGAAACUCAUCUAUUUGAAAUACUUCUUGCAACUGGCCACAGUUAAUAACUUUCACUUCCUCUAGAUUUUGUAGCGCGGGAGAUAAAAAAGCCAUUUCCAUGCAAUUCCUUGCUUCCAACGUCUUUAGUUUUUGUAGAAACCCUUUUGGAAACCCACCGUUGCACAACAUUUUCAAACCAGUCAUUUGUUCUAUGAAUAAUUCCACCAAAUUAGAGAAGGCAUUGGAUGAGACAUGGCCUUGUGUUGUAUCAAUCAAGCAUUCCAGCUCCUCACCAUCUUUAAGUGUAAGAAAAGUUAAUUCAUUAAGCCCCUUUGGAUCUACAUUUGGAAUAAGAUUUUUCUGAUUCUUGACUCCAUCCAAGGUAAGAUUUUUGACAUUGUGUAAUAACUCCUUCAAUGCAUGCAAUUGAUCACUCUGAUAAAUUCACAACAAAAUGAAUAUUAGACAAAUAGAAAAUAGCAUAAAAUUUAAAAAUUGACACAAAAGAAAACUGUUUUAUCUUUUCAUUGAAAGCUCAUUAAAGUUGAAAAACACACCAAAGCUUGGAGUAUAAGUAAUAGUGUACAUGCUGAAAUUUAUUGGAUACAUGGAAAUAUGAUUUAGCAAUAAAGUACACGUGGCGUGCAUGCAAGGAAGGAAAAAAAAUAAAAAUUUUUAUUGCCACAUGCUUGUUUGCUUUUUGUUCAUUAAAUGCAUUAAAUUUUUUAUUUUAUCAUGCCACGUAUCUGCUAUUGCCACGUCAUAGUUUAACAUGUCCUAUAAAUGCUAGCGUGGCUAGGAGUUAAAAAUCCAUGGAUUCUAUCCUAAUAAGGAUGCUUGGACAAUGACAAAGAACACUUUAAGAGCUUAAUGAGAUGCAAUUAUAUGCUAAAUUAUCAUGCAGCACUCUCAAUCUUAUAAUAUGAAUGAAUUCUUUUUUUUUUUUAAUGACAAGUACGCUAAGUAAUUAAUGAAGGAAUUGGAGACAAAGUUGCUGAUGAUGAGAGUUUGAAUUUUUCUAAGGAUACAAGUGUGACUUAUCCUAAUUUUUAUAAAAUAAUGCUUUGUAAAAACCUUUCUUGAAUAAGAGUUUUCAUCUUUUUCCUAUUUUGUUAUUCAAAUCCUUUUCCCAUUUCAAGAAAGAUUCAGAAUCAACUAGCUAAUUAUUGUACGAAUGUGCUGUUCUUUCUUUUUAAUUCAUGAGUAUUGACUUUUAAUAUCCGUCAAAAUAAAGAGUAUAAUUUUUGAACAACAAGGAAAAGUGUAUAAAAGAAAUACCUCUACUUGAAUUUUCUCGUUAACUUCUUUUUGAAUGUUGAAAUUUGCCAAUUUAGGACAGUUCCAAACUUCCAACUUCUCCAAAGAUGGUGAUGAGAUGAGAAAGUUUUCUGAGGAAAAGCAACUCAAAUUUAUCAAGUUUACAAGUAGUAAAUCUUGUAGGCAAGGGAGUGCGAUGGCACAAUCAACUCCAUUCUUUUCUUUUGCCCCAUGGAAGACUUGUUGUAACUGAGGAGAAUCGGUUAUCCAAAAUGAUUUCAAUCGCGGAAGAACUUGAGCCAAAGGAAUUUGAAAAAUAUUUUCUAAUAUUGGACAAUGACUUAUUCUUAGAGUUUCCAAUUUUGGCAAGAACGAAAAAUGGAGAUGGGCAUUUGUUUCUAUUCCAUCAUCAUAGACCAACUCGGUGAUAAUGUGUUGCAGUCCAUCACAGUGAUCUAUCUUGAGUUGUUGUAGCAGUACCAAGCUUUGAGCAAGGGAUGGUGAGAAGAGAUGUUUCAAUCUAUUGCAGCAACUAAUUUCUACAAACUUCAAGCUUUGGAGGCUGACAAAACGGGUGGACCCUUUCCAUACCCAAUUCAAUUCUGGUAAUGAGUUUAGCUCCAUAAGUGUUAAAUUUGACAACAGCAGUCCUUGAUUUUCUUUCGUAUCAUGAAGAAACUCAUCUAUUUGAAAUACUUCUUGCAACUGGCUACAAUUAAUAACUUUCACUUCUUUUAGAUUUUGCAGCGCAGGAGAUAAAGAGACCAUUUCCAUGCAAUUCCUUGUUGUCAACUUCUCUAGUUUUUGUAGAAAGCCCUUUGGAAACUGACCGUUGCACAACAUUUUCAAACCAUUCAUUUCUUCUAUUACUAAUUCCACCAAAUUGAAGAAUGUAUUGGUUGAGACAUGGCCUUGUGUUGUAUCAAUCAAGCAUUCGAGCUCCUCGCCACCUUUAAGUGCAAGAAAAUUUAAUUCAUUAAGUCCCUUUUGAUCUACAUUUGGAACGAGAUUUUUUUGAUACAUGACUCCAUUCAAGGUAAGAUAUUUGACAUUCUGUAAUAACUCCUUCACUGCUUGCAAUGGAACGUCCUGAUAAAUUCACAACAAAAUGAAAGAUAUUAGAAAAAUAGAAAGGUAGAUAAUACUCCUUAAAUCAGAAUUGAUUUUUUUUUUCUAUGCAUAAAAUUUAAAAAUUGAGACAAAAGAAAACUGUUUUAUCUUUUCAUUUAAAGCUCAUUAAAGUUGAAAAACAUACCAAAGCUUGGAGUAUAAAUAGUGUAUAGUAUUCUUUUAUGUACAUAUUAAUGUACUAAAAGAAAGAUGUUUUUCUAUGAUCAGAUAAAUAAUCAAUUAAUAAUUAUCAAAAGUAAAAUUGAAACAAACGAAAAUAUAACAGAACUACCAUCAAUAGAGACCGCGACCAAAGUCCUUCGUGAAUAUGGAAACGAGUCAUUGAUCCGCGUGGGAGACCAAUACUGCAAGCUUGGAAUCCCUUCAAAGAUGGCAACAUGACAAAAUAGUUUCUGGGACAAAAGUUCCUGAAGUUUAGUAAGUAUUCAAGUCUUAAAGACUGUAAGCGAGGGAGCAGAAUAUCGUGCCCAUACUCUUCUUUUGCCAUGUUGAAGACAUGCAUUAGUUGAGGGCAAUCAAUUAUCUGAACUGAUUCCAAGUGCGGAAGUCCUUGAGCCAAAGUGAUGGGAAACACAUAUCUCAAGCUUUCGCAACUAGCUAUCACAAGAGAUUUUAAUUUUGGCCAGCACAGAAGAGAGCGAUCCUUGUUUGAAAUUAUCUCAUCACCAUUUUCUGCUUCGGUGAUUAAAUGUUCCAAAGAGUUGCUUCCCUUUAUCCAGAGUUCUUCCAGAUGCACCAAAGUUUGAGCAAGUGUAGCUAAAAAGAGAUACUCCAGUUUAGAACACGAGCAAAUUCUCAUAGUUUUAAGAUUCUGGAGGUUAACAAGAUGGGUGGGUUCUCUCCAUAUGCACCUCAAUUCUGGUAAGGACUCCAGCUCCAAACAAAUUAAAUUUGAGAGUGGGGGUGCCUGAUUUUCCUCACAUAAAACAUAUAUUAUCAAUAAAUAAUUAUUUAAAUAUGAAUUCGUUGUACUUGUUCAAAAAAGUACUUAAAUAUUAAAGGCAUACAUUUUAAAAAAUUUUAAAACGAAGUGUAAAAAGCCACAAUUUAGAAAGAUUACAACUGAUGUUUACUUAUAUAUUUGGUAAUUUAACAUAAAAAAACACAAUUAGAUAAAGAACAAAUAAUAGAAUUAUUAAAGGAAAAAUGGAGAGAUGAGGGGUACCUCCAACUCAGCCAUAUCUUGGGCAAAAGCAAAGACUUGCUCUAAUUUCUUGCAUGCAGAUAUCUUGAGUUGUUCAAGAUGCAACAAACUUUGAGCAAGGCAAGGUGAGAAGAUUGAUUUUAGUUUAUCACAACCAUCAACUUUUACAUCCUUCAGAUUUUGUAGGCUUACAAGAUGAGUUGGCUCUUUCCAUAUACUCUCUAAUGCUGGUAAUGACUGCAGCUCCAAGCUUCUUAAAUUUGAGAUCGACCACAUACAACCAUUCAUUUGAAACACUGAUUGCAACUGUCCACAAUCGCAAAUGAUCAAUGUUUCUAAGUGUUGUAAGAAGCUAUUCGGUAAUUGACCAUGGCAUAACUCUUUCAAAGAAGUCAUUUUACCAAUGUCUAAGUUCACCAAAUUAGAGAAUGCAGUGGCUGGACUCUGUUCUCGUGUUGUAUCGAUCAAGCAUUCCAAAUCAUCGCAAGAUGUAAGCUGAAGAGAAGUUAAUUCAUUUAGUCCCCACUGAUCUACAUUUGGAACAACAGUUUUGUGUUCCAUGAUAUUCUCCAGACUCAGCCUUUCCACAUUGCGAAACAGCUCCUUAAAUGCAUUUAAUGAGGAGGAAUCUCUAAUUCUCAAUAUUCUCGAGAUAAGCUUUCUCGGAAUUUCAAUGUAUCCAUUUACACCUAUAUUGUAGCUUUGUAGUUUAGGAAACACAAAGUUUUCUUGAAAACAUUGAUCAGUAGAAACUGUCAAUGUUAAUGCAGUCAAACGAGACAACGAAUUCAACUCCGAUAAGUUGGCAAUGGUAAAACUUAACAUGUGUAGCUCUUGGAGUGACGUUAACCUGUUACACACAAAUACACAAUAUUAUUAACACAAUAACAGCACUUUCAAGCAGACAAUGAAAUAGCUACUAUUAAACUACAGCUUGCAAUGUUUCAUAAUAAUCGGAGUGACUAAAAGCUCAUGAUAUAUAUACAUAUAUAUAUAUAUAUAUAUGUAUAUAGUAGUCAAAUUGAAAACAACAAAAGGAAAAAUAAAAUAACAUAAAAUUAAAUUUUUUUUUUACUCAGCCAAGAAAAAAAAGAGAUUUAUAUAUAGACAGCUUAAAUGUACAAAAUAAGAAGAAACAAGAACAACCGCUCAAAGCAAAAAACUUAAAAAGAAGCAACUUGAUAGCUUGGCUGGAGGCAAAAUCAACACUUCAUAUGAGAUGACAUGUUACGGGAUUGGUGUCAGUACACAAGAGACCAACAUAUCAAACAGUCUCAUAAAAAUCGACCAAGGCAAAGAUGAAUAUAUUGGCACAAUCAGAUUGCCAGCGGGAAACAAUAAAAUUAAAUACUUAAGUAAAAACAAUUAGAUAAUCAGUUUUAAUGACAUCUAAGUAUUACCUUGAUAUCAAGUUAGGGGGGACAUGUCUGUCUUCAUCUCCAACCCAAAAAAUAUAUAGUGACUUUAGUCUGCGCAACUCCACUAAUUCUUCAGGUAAUUCAUCAAUAUAAGUUCUAAUCAAAGACAAAGACUCAAGAUUUUCUAGAUUUCUCAACGAUGAAAUGUUCUCAACGUCACACCUCAUAAUGCACAGAGUUCGCAGAUUUGUUAGGAAUUGAAGUGCUUCCAUUGAGAAUACAACACGUUGAAGAAAUAAAACUCGGAGGGUUUUCAUUCCUUCAAAAAAUUUACUCGGAACUCUUAGGUAAUCUUCUCCCGUUAAAAACAAAGUCUUGAGUUUUGAAAAUUCUAAUUUAUCGGGAAAAUUAACUAUCUUAAUAUUCCAUAAGGAGAUUGUUGUGUAACAACCAAAAAUUUCACUCUUAGGCCAUUCCGUCAGCUCAUUUUUUACCAUGAACAUAUUUUCCCCUCUUGAUGUUAUCCAAUGAGCAAAAUCACGAACCACAUCAUGCAUUUUUACAUAGAAUUCAUCGUCAGUUUCCAAUAACAAACCAAACUUUUGGAGCUUUGAUAGUGCUAGAUGAAUUUCCCUCCUUAUUUCUUCAAUUAAGUUAAUAUGACAAAACAGUCCCUGACCAAUUCCGAAUUCAGUCAACAACUCAACAUUAAUAUCAUAAUCUUCUGGAAAAAGAGAACACAACAAGAAACAUGACUGAAUAUUUUCUUCCUUCAAAUAAUCAUAACUAAGCUUAAGGCAGCUAUAGAUACCUCCACAAACAUCUUGAUUAUCCAAAUGUCUUGACUCCUUAAGUCGUUGAUUUGCUGCUAUCCACCCAUUUAGACUUUCACGUUUUAGAGCUUUCGCCAUAGUUACAAUUGCAAGAGGCAAACCCUUAGCUUCACGAGCAACCUCCUUGGCUACAUCAUUCAAGGUGGGAGAGGCAUCUUUUAGACCAGCAUUAUCUUUGAAUAAAGCCCAUGCCUCAUCUUCAGACAGAAUGUUCAGUUUAAAUUCUUCUUGACAAUUCAUUUGACUACAGACUUGUCGAAGACGUGUAGUUAGAAGAAUUUUGCAACCAGGGUGUUUGUCACCAGAUGGAAUUCCUAUAUUUCGCAAUUCAAACUGUUCCCAAACAUCAUCGAGAAUAAUGAGAAUCUUCUUCUCGCCUUUUAAUCUCUUGAAUAACUCUUCUGCUUUUCCUUCUUCUGUACUUGCAUUAAAUUUUAAACCCAAGAUUUCAGAAAUUCUAUGUUGAAUUUUGUUGAUGUCUGGAUUUUGAGACACCCCCCUAACAAUCACAACUUUAUCAAAGAGCUUUUCUUCCGUAGCUUGCUUCCCCACUACUUCCGCCAAAGUUGUUUUACCCACUCCUGGCAUUCCGUGCAAUCCAAUCACGUUCACACCAUCACCUUUUAAAGCCUUCAUGAUCCCAUUGAAAGCUAACGUUGAAGAUUCGGAACGCAUGAAAUCCUUGGGUAGUAGGAACUCUAUUCCUUGAAGAGGAGGGCGCUGGCCGACUAGUGGAAAGUUACAGGUCUCUAAAAGUUUAGAGAUACAAAGAUUCUUCUUCGCGACUUUCUUACUUAAGCAAUAUCGCCAACCCCAACUAGGACACCAAUUGAAACACUUGUUACGCUCUAUUUCUUCUUCCAAACUCUGAGCUUCUCCCAAUUCUUUAUCUGCCUUUGUUAGCCACUCCUCAACGCCCUUCUUAAUUACCUCAGUUUGCCUUAAAGCCUCAUCGACAGCAUCUUUCAACUCAUCUCUUUUUGAUUCAAGUUCAUUUCGCCGGUUCUUGAAAUCUUCAACAAUUUCGCCAAAACGGAAAAAGUAACGGAGAUAAGGUGAUGCGUAUUCUGUUGCUAAGUUCCCCGCGGUACCGCUAAUAGCAGCGCAAACACAUUCAAGAAACAUUCUUUGAUGAUCUGAGGCUGAAAAACAAUUUGGAUGAGUAAAAUGUUUUACAGAGAGACAAAAAGUAAUUACGAAAUGUUCACAAAAUAUCUCGCCUUUGCAGCAAUACUUUUAUAAAAUAUGUGAAUCACAAGAGAACAAAUUGUCCGCCGACUAACUUGGAAAUUGAAAAUGCUGCACAAGUAGAAAUUAUUCACUGGUCAUGUGUAUAGUAAUUAGAAAUAUAUCUUACAUGUUAGAGUAAAAUCAUAGUAUUAUGAUUCUAUAAAAUACUUUCUCAAAAUUUAAAAUAUCUAUUUAUUUCAGUUUUUUCCUAAUAGCUACAGCUUUUGUGUAACCAUGCAUGCUCGUCAUGGGCAAGGAAAGAAGUAAAGUGCAAAAUUAUUAUUUUUAUUUUCCAAGUGAAGAACUCAAGAAGUCAAAUGCAUAAGUGACAAGAGAAAUAAAAAGCAUAGCAAAAAUUAUAUAUGGACAAUAUAAUAUGUAUUGUUGAAGCUUACCUCACUUCGAAAGGAUCUUCUAACGCUGCAUGGAUUUUUUCUUCACCAACUCCGGAGAUCGGGAAAGUAAAAUUAAGGACUUCUUUUCUGGAUAGAAAGCAGAGAAAUCCAAAUACUAGAGGUAGCAGCUUUGGGUUUUUUUUUUUUUUUUGGCCUUUGUGGAGCUGAGGAAAGGAAACGUAGGGAUCAAAGAACAGUUUUUGUUUUUUAUUUUUCUGAGUUAAAAGAAAAUGAGGAAAGUAGAAACCAAUGGAAAAAACGAACAGAGAUUUUUUUUUUUUUUGAGUUGAAAGAAAAUGAGGAAAGCAGAAACCAAUGACAAUAAACCAACAGAGAUGCUUUUCUGUUUUUGAGUUGAAAAAUUGAGUGGAAAAAUCAAGGAAAAUGAAAUGGAAAAUUAAGGCAGAAAUCAAACAAAAUCUUUGGGAUAGUGCAGCUCACAGAUGUGGAGAUGGUAGAAGAAGAAGCUUGAAUGGAAACUCUAUGAAGACGAAGUAGUGAGAGUAGGUAUAGGAACUUUGGAACACUAAUAUUCAAAUUAGGAACAACGGAAAAAAAUUAGCAACUUGGCUUACACUUCCCAUGUAAGAUUCUCUUUUCUUUGAUAUGCGAGAGCUAAUGCUAUACAUUGAGAAAGUUAAUUUGUUUUAUUUAUCGUUUUUCAGUUGGCUUUUCCAUAGUUUGUCCCCCUUUUGUUUUUUCUUCCCUGGUUGUGGGUGGUGCUCGAGACACAAAUGUUUAUUGCUCCCUCUAGCUAAAAGCUCUUUGGCCAGCAUGUGCAAUCAACAUUAUUAUAUAAUGUUUAUAGAUUUGAGGAUUUUUGUUUACCACUAGAGACAGUUGCAUGUGAACGAAUUAGAUAUUCUAUUCAAAUUUUAAUUGGGAAUCAGUAAAAUUUCAUUAAUAAAAAAAUUAUUUGGUGAUUAAGUUUAUUUAAAGGAUAAAUAUAGUUAAUGAUUAAGAGUUUUUAAUGGAUAGGAAUUCAUGGUGACAAAGUAAUAUGGUUUUAUAAAUAUGGAAUGUGUCUUAACUUUUAAAAUUAAGAUAGAGAUGAGAUCUUUAUAUGAUCUUAUGUAAAAGAUAAUUUUUUUUAAAUGGAGUUUUUUGUAAAAACUUCACAGAAUUAUAGAGAUGUGAGAAGGAGCACGAGAAAUACAAGAAAGAGUAGGGGAAACGCAGUUUGCAUGGGAUCGAAAGUAUUUUAUGAGUUGAAACAAUAGGGAGCACAGAAACUGGAUUUGUUUCGAAGCUUAAGUUUAGUAUUUGUUUUUAUUUGUACUUUUUGUAAUCUCUAUGCCUAUAAUGAAUUUUUCUGAAUGCAUAUUAAAUAUUAUCUCUUAUAUGUGCUUUAUAAAUUAAAUUUUCAUUUGUAAUUUAUUUACUUAACUUACAAAAUAUAUAGUAUAAAAAGGAGGGUUUUUCUUUCUAGUUUUUUAGUGAUAUAUUACCUUGGACUCCGCACCUGGUCUUUAAGCUCAUGUGGUUAAAGCUCAGCAGAGUAAUAAGAUUUGGUCAUUAUCUUGGGCUUUACGUUGACCCAACCAGAGCAAUCUACUCUCAUUUUAAGGAAAGGAAGUACUUAUUGUAAACCUUGAACUAGUGGGAGUAAUUGUUUAUAUACCUUUCUCUCUUCCAAAACGUUGGUCCUAUCCUUUUAUUUCGAAUUUUUUCAUUUUUUAGUUAAUUUUCUUUUAAAAAAUUAUAUUCUGUGGAGGGAGGACAUGAGCCCGUAGUGAAAAUGUAUUUGUAUUAUCAAAAUCAAAUAAAAACUAAAAGAAAUAUCAUCAAAAACAGGGGUCAAAGCCUUGUACCCUUUCUAUACUUUUAUCACUUCGCUUUUUCCGUUAUAUUUGGUCUUUGAGGUGAUGGCCUUGGAGUAGUAAUGUAUUCUUCCAACAAUUACUAGUCAUUUUACAAUAAUAGGAAAUUUUUUAGUAAAAUAUUUAUAUAAUAUAUUGCCCUGUUUAAAUUGUGUAGGCCUCAAUAAGUUAAAUUUUGAGCUGAUUAAAUUAUCGAAAAUUAUCCAAUAAACUGUCAUGGAGUUUGAAAACUUUAUCAAUGGAAUUAGGAGGUUGCAACAUAUUCAUUCGGAUAUAUUUGAAAAAAUAAAUAAAUUAAUCUGAUAAAUAAAAGGAUAUUAAUUUGACAAUAUUUUAAUUUUACUAACAAAGUUAAAAUCUCACCGAGGAUGCAUAGAUUAAUAGUCCUUAAAAUAAUCCCUUUGUUUUUACAAUUGAGGGACAUUGAUCGUUACAUGCAUUAGUAGUGGAGAUUUGUUGCCUUUUCCUUAAAAGAUCAUUACAUUUUUUGCUUAAUUGCAUGCUUGUGUUCGGCUUAUAUAUAUAGGCUUUCAUUAGUGCUUGUUGAAUUAUGGCAGUGAAGUGUUUAGUAGAGUUGAUAUGAAUGAAGUGACUAUCCAGAGAUAUUGCAUCGUAUCGUUUUCUGCUUAUUGGGUUCCAUUGCUUGGAGCAUUUCUGCAGUUUCUGCGUACUUAUUUGCUACAACUUGAAAGAAAUGAGCAUGGCAAGAUUGUAUACAAAUUUGCCUAUGACUUCAAAUUUAGUUCGGCUUGAUCAACAAAAGAGGAAAAUUUCAGUUGAGAUUUUAGCAUUUUGGUUACUGAAUGAGUGACUCUAGGAAGAUGGAUAACGUUCAUGCAUGCUUGCGAAGCUCGUUUGGUAAUAUAUAGCACAAAAAGCAUAGUGAACCCAACUUCGAAACACAUGGAUGCCAUCUAUUUUUCUAACAACAGCCGUGGCAAGCGUGAGCAUACCAAUUCUAAGUUCUAACAUUGGGUUUAGACCACUUUAUCAAAUUUCAAAGCCUUUCUUUAGUGCUUUUUUCCCCUGGAUUUCUUGGUAGAAUUAACUGGUGCCGUAAAAGAGGGCCAUGUUGGGGAUGGCAGGGGACGGAUUAGUGUAAUUUUUUUAUAUUUAUAAUUGAAACAAAUUAGAGGAAUGCAGAUUAGGGGACAGUAGAUUAUGGAAACGGUGGAAGACAUUUCAGCAGGUGGAUUCUUUAAAGGAGGUGAUAGGCAGUGUAUUAUUCUGUGAGUGCUGAUUUUUUGGCAAAGGAAGGUGCAAGGAGAGAAAGUUUUUAUUGGAUAUUGUCAUUACCUUGAGAUUUACAUUGAGCCAGUGGGAUUAAUUAUUAUUAUUAUUUUUUUGUUUUUAAGAAAAAGAACCACUUUUUGUAAACCGUGAACUAAUGGAGGCAAUUGGUUUUAUAUACAUAUUGCUCUUGCAAAACAUUGUAAUUUAGAAAUUUAGAAGUAGAGGUAUACGUUGAUCCCUUCAUUAAUUCGACAACUUCCAUAUAAAACAAAAGCUCAGCAGAUGAAGACGAAGCUAGCAGCUAGCUUGGAGGGAAGUGUGUAAGGCACUAAGCAGCUAGCAGUACAAUUCCUGGCCUCAGUCAUGGUUCACUUUUUGCCUAUGGAGACGCAAUCUCUUUUUAUAAUCAAUUUGUUUUCAUUUGACACUCUGUUUAAGAUGUAGUAGCUCAAUCUCAGCCAUAUACACGAAUAAAAUAAAACGACGGUAUUUACUUGGUUAAUUGGUUGUUAGCCAACUUGAUGGAAAUCUAGUAAUUAAAAGCCAAAGGAAAAUAUCAUCAAAAUCAGGGGCCAAAGCCUUUCGCCUUUUUUAUAGUUGAUGCUCCUUCCAGCUUUUACCACAUUGCUUUUUCCUUUACACUUGGUCUUUGAGGUGAUAGCCUUGGAAUAGUAAUGAGAACCACCCAAAACCAAUUAAAGUAGAUGAUAGAUGAAAGAAAGAAAUGAGAAUACUUGUUAAUUUGCUACUAAGUAGCAGCAGCUAGUCAAAUUCAGAUUUAUGCAUUAACAUAGUUUCACCUUCUUGUUAAAAUUUAUUCUGAUUCUUCUGAUGUAGCUUUAUUUACCCAGCAGCGAGCCUUCAAAAUCAAACAAAGUGGGACAUGAAGAACAAAAAUUAGCUUGGGACAAUCUUCAACCGAAGAAGUCAAAUUUGGAAAUACAAGAUGGUAACAUUAUAUAAUAAUUGAGGGAGCACUAUUUGCUUCUCUUUCUGGGUACUUACUUCUUCAUCUGCAAUUCCAAAUAGUUGCUCUAGUUCAGAAGAUCCUUCGACUGUGAUUAUUUCUAGUUUUGGCAGAGCAACAUUAACCGGAAACAGACUUUUCAUUUUAUUUCAGUAACCAACACAAAAUCGAUUCUUUCAACAACCCCAACCCCCGCAUAAGCCAGAAUUUCAAUUUCAUUACUUUUGGAAAUGAGAAAAACAAGAAACUGAGUGCGUACUGGUAAUAUUCACAGUCAAACGUAUUGCAUAUUUCAUCUGAUGGUAAAGGUUGUUGCAUCAUAUUUGAUAAACAAAGAGGAGAUAUUCGGGAUUUUUUUUUCUUAAUUUUAAUUUGGGCAUUGAAAUUUUAUUAAAGAGUGUUAGGCCUUGAAAAAGGGGAAGAUGUUUUUGGCAUAGAAACUUCAAGGACUUUAUAUUUUUCUUCUUCCAAUUGCCAUUGGUUUGUAAGCAAAGAUGGGAGUAAGGAAUGCAGUUGCCAAAUCUAACAAGUUUGUUUCACAAUUGAGGGGCUAUGUGAUCUGAUGUCUCAGGGUGAAGAUUUGUUACUUUUUCUCCCAGCGUUUUACAAGCAUGGAAAACCAUGGGGAAAUUUGUUGAUGUCUGACUCAGACAUGCAAGUAGACAUUACAAAUCAACUAAACAUUGUAAAAGAGAAGCAAAGAUCAACCAGCUGCAAGUCAACUAAACACAGAGAAAAACCAUGUUGCUCACAGUCCUUUCCCAAGUCAGAGAGGUAUAACUCCUGCAAAGACAUAAAUAUAUCAUAAUUUCAUUAGAAAUUGAAUAGAUUACAAAGGGCCAAGACACUGUUGCCUAAAUAUUGGAAGAGAAAAAUGUCUUGAAUCCCAAAGAAAGAACAUAUAUCACUCUAUGCAUCUAAUUAAUCAUAACUCAAGCAAUUACUUUAAUAUACGAUUGAUUAUAAGUGUACGUUAAUAAACUCAGUUACAAAGAUCAAUUAACAUAUGACCUCAAAAGUACAAAGCUUUCAUAUUAUUUCAAAAAAAUUUAGAUAAGCUCAUAUCUUUUUAUUGUAUUUAAUUAAAUUUUUUAAAUAUUAAUUUUCAAUAUCCAAACCUUUUUUUUUUUGGAUAAAACCCAUAGAUGAUGGUUAAUCCUUUAACAUGCGAUAAUAACUCCGUCACUGCAUGCAAUUGAACUUCCUAAUAAAUUCACAACAAAAUGGAAGAUACUAGAAAAAUUGGAAAGGUAGAUAAUACACCUUAAAUCAGAAUUGAAAUAUUUUUAUAUGUGUAAAAAUUAGAGAUUUGGGCCAAAAGAAAAUUUUGUACCUUUUCUUUAAAGCUUAUUAAAGUAGAAAAAUAAACUAAAGUUUGGAGUAUAAAUAGUGUAUAGUAUAUAUACAGGUAAAUGUCAAUGUAAUAAAAGUUUUCGAUGGGAAAGAUGUUUUCUUAUGAAAUAAACAAUCAACUAAUAAGUAUCAAAAGAAACAUUGGAACAAAUGAAAAUAUAACAAAAUUACCUUCAACUGAGACUGCGACGUAAGUCUUUGUGGAUCUUGGGAAUGAGUCAUUAAUUGGGGUUGGGGACUAAUAUUGCAAGGGUCAAAAUCUUUCGAAGAUGGUAACAUGGCAGAAUAAUUUCUUGGACAAAAGCUCCUCAAGUUUUUCAAGUUUUCAAGUGUUUAAAUCUGUUAUUGAGGGAGCACAAUACGGUGCCCAUCCUUUUCUUUUCCCAUGUUGGAGACAUGCAUUAAUUGAGGGCAAUCAAUUAUCUGAACCGAUUCCAAGUACGGAAGUCCUUGAGCCAAAGUGAUUGGAAACACAUAUUUCAAGCUUUUGCAACUAGCUGUCUGAAGAGAUUUCAAUCUUGGCCAGCAUAGAGAAUAGCAAUCCAUAAUUGAAACUAUUUCAUCCCCAUUUUCUGUUUCUAUGAUUAAAUGCUCUAAAGAGUCGGUUUUCUCUAUAUGGAGUUCUUCCAGAUGCUUCAUAGAUUGAGUAAGGGCAGGCAAAAAGAGAUAUACAAGCUUAGAACAUGACCAAAUUCUCAUAGUCGUUAAGACUUCGGAGAUUAACAAAAUGGGCAGAUCCUCUCCAUAUGCAUCUCAAUUUUGGUAAUGACUCAAGCUCCAAACAAGUUAAAUUUGAUAGUACUUGUGCCUCAUUUUCCUCACAUAAAGAAUAACACAUAAAAGUUGAGAGAUAUAAAGCGUCUUCUUUGCAUCUUUGAUACUUAUGCAGUAUCGCCAGCCCCAACUAGGACACCAAUUGAAAUACUUGUUACGCUCUAUUUCUUCUUCCAAACUCUGAGCUUCUCCCAAUUCUAUCUCUGCCUUUGUUAGCCACUCCUUAACGUCCUUCUUAAUUACCUCAGUUUGCCUUACAGCCUCAUCGACAUCAUCUUGCACCUGAUCUUUUUUCGAUUGAAGUGCUUUUCGCUGCUUCUUGAAAUCUUCAACAAUUUUGGCAAAACAGAAAAAGAAAGUGAGAUAAGGUCAUGCUUAUUCUUUUGCCAGAUUCCCUACAGCAUGUAAAACUGCGGAUGGCAAUUGUAUUCAGCCUGCAACAACAUUGCCCGUAGACUAGAAAACUCAAUAUCACAGAGAAGGAAGGAAAGAUAUGGGAUGAAACAAGAAAGGGAACCAAAAUAAAAAAACAAAAAAGAGAUGAAGGAACCUGACCCUCUCAAAGAAAUAAAAACCACAACAUUGUACACCAGCCAAUGAAAACCCACAACCUUAAAACAUGUCGUAUCAAAGCAACACCUUAAGUGCCCUUGAAGAGUGGACCAGUUUCAAGCCACAGUAGAGCAACCACACCUCACUGCAAAAUACAAUAAAAAUAAAACACAUUAAGCACAACGUAUAUAAUGUCAGAAAAUGAUAAUGGCAGAUGUAGCGAGCAUAGACAAACUAGUCAUUUCAUUUGUUUUUUAUUAACCUUCCAUGCAAUUAAAGUAACAAAGGGUGGUCAAACAGAUUCAGCAUGCUUGCAUUCUUUCUGCUUUUGCUAAGAGCCAGGAAUAAUUAUGAAAAUAUGUAUAAUUCGUAAAAUCAUGUUUACCUGCUGUGGUUGUUGGUAAGCUUAUGGUUGCUGGUAAUUCCCAUAUCCAAGAUAGCCCCCAUAGGACAUGUUAGGAUCUUGGGGAGGAGGUGCAUAUCCAUAUGCUUCAAAUCCUUGAGCAUAUCCAUAAUAUCCACCAUUCCACUAGGCCUGAUCUGGUUGAGCCUGAAACUCCAACAGAUUUCCCUCUUAGUUUGUAGAAAUAUAUAUAGCAAGGUUUUAAUUACAAAAUACCAUGAUUUUAAAUACAAAACCUGAUUGCUUGAAGGACUACAUCCCCAUGAAAGUCAAAUGUUUCUUCCUCCUAAUACGAUGCCAUUCAAAACUGAUAAAGCUUGCUCUGCGUUAGUCCUGAAGUAUAUCAAAUUGCAGAAUAAAUUAAUAUAAUAUAAUAAUAUUUCACGCACUUAAAUAUUCGGAAGAAUUUACAGCUUACCUAUUAGCAUAUUGAACAAAACCACAACGCUUGUUAGCAGGAAUUUUUACAUGAACUACCUCACCCAGCUGGCUAAAUAUUUGUUUUAAUUGGUCUUCAGAAACACUAGGAUCCAAACCACCAACAAAUAUCUGCAUUUAAGCAUGUAAGAUUUCAGUCGACCACACCAUGAAAUAAGCAUAUUAAUAUAUAUAAAAAAGCUACCCACUGUGGUAUUAUUUGGAUCAUUCUCGCCAGGAUUUCCUUGAGUAUUUGGGUAAGAAGCUGCAAAUGACAAAUACAUGUAAACUACAAUAGAAUGAGAUGAUAAAAAAGCUCAUUGCUUCUCAAAACUCAAAUUAAACAUUGUUGAAAAAACCAAGCAUUAAGAUAAUACACUUAAAAAUACUAAAAAAGUUCUAAAAAAUUCCCUCCAUGGCAUGCAAAAGAACAAAAAUGUAAAACCACCAGCUAUACAUCACUCAAAAGUUACAAUUACAACCAUAAACCUCUUUGGGUUACAUCAAGGCUUACCAUUACCAGGGAAAGUGAAAAGUAUCAGACUAAAUGGAUUUCAAUAGUAGCCCAUAAAGAAAUCAUUAAUUACAUUACACUCAGGGAAUCGGUAAAGGUCCUAUUCUUUCAUUAACCUUUUACAAUAGCAUGAAAAGGAGAAAAAGGAAAAUUGAAAUCAGAGACUUAACUUUUCUCUGCACUUGACAUGAAAUAUUUCCUUUUGCUCCUUUCUUUCACACAUUUUUUGUAAGGGGGAGGGGAGGGAGGGAGGAAGCUGUCAGGGCUUAAAUAGAAUGAUUCACAACUUCAACUUCAAAGAUUAUGUUUUAGUAGAAAGAACCUAUCUGCUAAACUAAUUUCAGAAAUGCUUUAACAUUCUCUGCGUAGACAGAAACCUAUAGAGAUUAUAUUAGCAGCCACAAAAUGAUAAGAUGAAGAACAUAUUUAGAAAAUAAGGAAAUUCCUCUAAACUGAAGUGAUGCAAAACCUCAAAUGACAAGUAGAAAAAGAAUGCCUUGAAAAUGCAAUAUUAAUACUGGUAGAUUCAUACACAGCUAGGCCAUCACUAUUUAGGUUUUGGCAAUAAAGCAUGCACGAGUGAUCCACUUCCAUUGAGGUUAAAUCCAUUAACUGAAAAUGCCUUUAACUACAAGUCCCAGGUUUCUUUCCUGACUCAAUUUGUCCUCAUUUGUAACAGAGCAAUAGAAUGAGGACAAAGAAGUUACUAUAACGUUUAAAAGAAGCACAGAUAUAAAAUGCAAUAGAACAAAAAUUGCCCCAAGGCUCAAUAACAGAAUGGUGCAUGAUAACAUCCAUACCAACUUUACCCAUGGCUGCUUCACCUAGUUUUGAGCAUUACAGCUUGAAUUUAAAGGAAACAAAGAGAAGAGUGUAAACAUAUGCAAGUAUCAAAAGGGAACUUAUCUACGACGAACUUAGAAAAAAAAGGUUUCUGGAGUGGUAAAAGUAUCUAAAAAAAGAUUCAAAGGAAACAUGUUGGGAAAACUGAAACAACUUGUACUUGACUGGAAUACUUGAUAAGGAACUAGAAAAGUAAUUUACGAAUGUAGCACAAAUACUGCCACGAGAAAAUGAGGCUUACGAUAUAAACAAAGUAACUGACCUAAAAUGGGGCCACGCAUUAAAGUGGGAUCAUUUCAGCUGAUACCAGUUCCAGGCUCCCCAAAAUGAGAGCCUUUUUGGUGUCCUGCUUUAAGACAACAUGAGUUUUAAAUAAGUUUGUGAACGUUUUAAUAUAAUUAAACGUGCCCAAGUUUGCAAAGGCAAACUGAAAGGAAAUGACUUUGUAUAAAUUCUGCCGAUCUUCAAGUGCAUAACUGAAAGAAUUCAAAUUUUAAGGACACUGUAACAACUAACAAGUAACAACCUCGACUCAGAAAAUUAAAACCCAAAAACAAAAAUAGAAUAACCAACAAGCAUUCAACUUGUCAAGUCAAAGUUCUCUAAGAUAAAUCAUGGCAGAUAAAAACUAUAAAAAAACCAAGCAACCUUCAUGUUAGUUUGCCAAGAUCUAUUGAUGAGCAUGAAAAAUGCUCUGUAGAAAAGAGUAAAACCAGAAAACUAGAAGAAGAGAAAAACUGAUCAGGAAAUUGGAAGAAGAAAAACUAACUUCUCAUCGAGUCAAGAGUCUGUUACACCUAUUUAUACACAAGUCAUGCUGACAUCAAAGAAAGCCAAUCCUAAUUACAAAAUAAUUAAAUAUAUAAUCAGAUAUCUAUUUACACUUGGACACGUGUAUGUAUUUAACACUUCAUAUGAAAAUCAAGAUAAAUAAUGAAUUUAACAUAACCCGUUUGCUUAUUCCUAAUCAGCUUAGCUGAAGCCACCUAAACUAUCCCAAAAAAAUUAAACUUCCUUUAAUUACUUUUUACUGAUUUUAUUACUUAAGUAGUUAAGUUUAAAAGGAAAAGAAAGGAAAUUCAUUUAAAUAACAAAAGGGAAUAAUAUUUUGAUUUAUUAAAAUGUAUAUAAAACUGUGAAUUUUAUUGGACUAUAUUUGCUCCGUUUAAUUAAAUUUUAUUAUAUUUUUUUACUAUUUUACUAUUUACUUAGGCACUCUUAAAUCUUUUUUUUUUCUAAAAGCCCCUAAUUUUUUUUUCUAAAAUAAUAUAAUUAACUAAUUAAUUACCUCUCCAGUGUGAGCGAAGAUGUUGAUGAGGUAAUUCUCAUCCAUCCACUGCUAAAGAUCACCGAUCUAGAAGGAUCGAAUCUCACUGGAGCCGCAACGGCUGAAUCGGUGGAGUACUGCUGCAUCUGACCUAGCGGAGGAACGGGUUGUGGAGCCCAGUCGGAAGGUGGAGGAACCGGCUGACCCGCCUGUUGCUGCUGUUGUUGUUGUUGCAUCAUCAUCCACGGCUGCUAUUGCGGUUGCUGCUGGUACUGCUGGGUUUGAGACUGAUCAGCUGCCAUGGACUGCGGUGGAGCUACACCUCCUGCUGGGGGUUGUUGCAUCAUACUCGAUAGAUAGAUAGAUAGGGAAGAGAAUCGGGAGAUCUCAGAGAGGAGAGGAAACCCAAGUGGGGAAUUGAAAUUUUAUAAAGAGAGGAUUUUGUUUUAUUGACCAGAGGAUGCUUGUCGGGGUAACACGUGGAGAAUAGGAAUUACGUGGCAGUAAUGGGCUUUUGAUAGGGUAAAUCGAGUAUUCGGCUUGGUAUGGGCUAGAUUGGGCUGAGUUUGGGCUAAAAUUCUUUUUCUUUGUUAAUAAAAAACGUUUCUUAAGGAUGUAAUAAAAAAAGUUUUAAAAAAGAAUUUUUAUAGACAAUUGAAAUUUGGUGUUAAUAAGCAUAGCAAAAUUUUUUGAAAAUUAAGUAAUUAAAUGGAAUUGAAAUUUGAAAAUUAUUAAUAUAUUUUUAUGGUAUAAAAAUUAAUUAUUAUUUUAUUUUAUUCCCUUUAUAAAUUUUAUGACUUAUAAUUAUGAUGAUUUAGUAGAUGUCUGAUAAAUUAUUUCUUAAUCUAUUAAAUAGGAAAAUUUUUUUAUCAUUUCCCUUCGUCUCAUUAUCUUUGUUCUUUAUUGAUUUUUUUGUUAAAUAAACUCUGACUUUGAUCAUUAUUUUUAAAAACAUUGUAAAGUUAUAAAAUUUUGAAUUUUAAACAUUUAAAAUUUUUUUUUGAAUUUUUAAUUUUAUAUAGUAGUCGUUUAAUAUGGUAAGAAAAGUACAACAUGGUAAGAAAAGAAAUUAAAUUGAACUUAAUAAUUCUAAGUGCAUGCAGAAAUGGUCCAAUCCCUUUUUAUAAUUUUUAUUGUAAGCAUUACUUGGUAAAAUUUUCUUCUAUCAAUGAGUAAUUACUUCAUUUUAAAUGCUUUUUGCGAACUUGUUGCCUGGACUUUACUACCAUGGCCAGAUCUUAUAGGUUGGAGUACUAAUCAAACUCUCAAUAUUUCAAUAAAUCACUUAAAACCUUCAUAAAAUAAAAAUCUACUUGGCUUGUAUAGGGAAAUUAAAGUUUAAUUUCUGACGCAGGAGCGUCAAUGAUUGUAUUUUAUUAAAUUUAGUUUUUGCUAAUUUAGUUGAUUUAUGAUUUAUUUUCUUUAUUUUAUUUAAAUUAGGAUUCUUUUCUUAUUUUUAUUUUAAUACUUUUAAGAAUUAGUAUUUGAUUAGGAUAGUUAUGUUCUAUUUAGGAAUAGAACACCUAUUUUAUUUAAAUCUCUUAUUAAUUAUUCUAAUUGUAUUAGAUAACUAGGAGUAGAGUUUUAUUAGGAUUUGGGCCUAUAAUACUAUAAAUAGGACCCUUAGGCUUAGUUACGAGACAUUCAGAAUUGAGAGUUAAUAAAUAAUAUUUUCUUAAGCAGGAGUGCUUAUUUCUCUAGACUCUUUUAAAGGGUAAGAGGUUUUAAUAUCUUUGGCCUAGCCAACCAAAGUGGGAUUUUGGCUAUUUUUCACCUUAGUGGGGUUUUCAACCUUGCCAAGAUUGGUGAUUCACCUUAGUGGGGUUUUCAACCUCGCCACGAUUGGUGUUUUUCAUAACGCCUAGGUGUCUUUACAACGCCCCGGCGUCAAUUUCCCAUGUCUUGAUUUAAAAUAUAGAAAUAAGGAUAAGAAAUAGAAGAAUUUUAAGCUUAUUCUUCUACUAAUUGUGGAUGCAGUGAGAAACAUAACAUUGAUUAGGUAAAUUACUGAAAGCAAGUGAUCCCUUUGCUUGACAACUCUGUGAAGCCAACAUCUUGAUCAACCCAAAGCACAAUAAUUUCAACUACCUGUUUUUUUUUUUUUUUUGUUUAUGUAAAUAAUAAAGAUUAGCACAAGUAAACUACUAAAACUUGAUUAGGACUAGGCAAACAAGUGAGAGAAAUGAAAAUGGAAAGUAGCCUUUGAUCUACCUGUGUUUAGUUAAUGGCUCCAACAUACUCAUUGAUGUUUAAACAUGCCUUUGCAACUUCCCCUGCAAUCAUCUCAUAGUUCUUCCUUGUAAGGUGGUAGCUCACAAAGGCUCUUGCUCCGUCGAAUGGUCUUGGCGUCUUGCUUAACUGGUUGCGGUGUCUUUUUUAAACAAUUGAAACAAGGGAAUGUAAAACAAAAGUAUUAAUGUUACAUGUUAUGAGGGUAAAAGAAAAAAUAGACAUAUUAUAAUUUAUAAGCAUUUUAGGCCACAAAUUCAUUAAAAGUAAUGGAAUCAUUCACUAAAAGUGAUAUUCUAGAUCAAUCUUUUGGUUGCAGUGUACUACUCAAUCAUUUAAGUAAUUUUAGUAAAGACUUUGAAAAAUUAUGUAGUAUAAUAUUAUUAAAGACUAUAAUUGCCUUUGCACAUACUAAAUAAAAUCUUAAACUUAAUUCACAAAUCAACAAUAAAAACUCUUAAUCAUCAAUAACGAUUAUGUUGGGAGGAUAAGGAGAAUGAAUAAGGUAUUUUUAGUUUUUGUGAAUAAUAUUCUUGCAAAAGUCCAUGAAGAUGGCUUCAAAGGAUUUGGGAUCAAUUUGGAAAGGUUGUCAAUACAUUGUAGGGAGAAAUAAAAGCAAAUACAGCUAGAGGUAUCCUUUUAUCAUAUUUGGAUAUUUUAAUAAGGAUAGAAGAGCAGUCCAAAAUUUAAAUGGAGUCUGGCUUCUUAACCAAAGGCUAGAGGUCAAUAUAGCCAGCUAAGGAAGCCAUGAUUCAUUUUGAAGAAGGAAGCAAAAAGGAAGCUUCUGAUGCACCUAGUGUUAACCACAUUAGGAACGGAACCUGCAGUGGGAUUUUGAGACAACUUGGUUUUAUUCAUUAAGCCAUCUUAUGCUCUGUUAUUGAAAGGUGCUUUUGAAAGAGGUGGAGCUUCAAAUGAAGAGAGAGGAGAUGAUUUUCAAUGUCUGAAAAGCAUGGAAAACAUGCUUUGGUUGAAGAUAAGUGCUGUGGUAACAACGUAAUGUAAUUCAGAUCUAGCAAAUUUAAUGGAAUUAUUUAAAAUAGAGGGCAUUUCAGGGCUGCUUAUGAGGAGUUUGUCUCUCAAAGAAUUUCUGCUAACCUUUGAGGAUAAGGAGCUGUUGGAAGAGCUCAAGGAUAAAGGUUGGGAUUGGCUUAACAAAUGGUUUGCUAAGGUGGAAACAUAGUUAGAGAAUUUUUCAUCAAAACUCCUUAACAAGUGGGUGACUGCACAGGAUAUCCUUUUGAUGUGUGAAAUAGGCAUAUUAUAAAUUAUAAGCAUUUUAGGCCAAAUUCAUUAAAAGUGAUAUUCUAGACUAAGUUUUGGUUGUAGUGUCAUUCUCAAUCAUUUAAGUAAUUUAAAGACUUUGAA
rnacentral:lncRNA from 1 species